rnacentral:lncRNA from 1 species
GAAGACAACUAAAACUGCUCAAAUUUGAAUUAAACUCUUAAUACAUUUUACAGACGUAAUGACUCGACAAAAUUCAUGAACCCCAUAAAAGAGGCACAUUUGGCUAGGUAUAUAUUUCGUACGAGAAAUUAUAAUAAAAAAAUAUUGUUACAAAAGGUAUUGGAUGGUCCAUGGUGCUAUGAUACAAGCCAAUGAAUGAAAUAGACAAAAGGGAGGCCUUAGUUGUUUUAUUAUUUGAAUUUCCAGCUGAAGACGAGUCUUGAAAACUGACCUGCCUUUCCUGGAGCCGUGUCCACAAGGUGCAAACAUCCAAUUCUUAUACAUCAACUUGGCAGACUACCAGGAGCAAAUUGAGCAGAUUGAUUACUCAUCACUUUACAACAAAUGGGCCGGAAGAAUUGAACCAAUGAAUCCAGUUGUAAUGAUGUAAACAUACAAAAGAAUGAAUCACCCUUCCAGGUAAAGUUCCAUCCAGAACUACUCUAUCUCAUGUUGUACGGUUUUCCUCUCCUCUGACCUGUGACGAAACAACUUGGCCAUCUUUCGCCUCUCACAGUCCUGCAAGACAGGCAACAACAGUUUUAAAUGGCUUAUAAGAAGAAGAAACAAAACUAGAAGCAAGUUGUCAAUCUCUUGCUCAGACUUUGUAUGCAAUUUCCAGGACUGCUCACCUUAAACAUAUUUAGAUAAAAUGGUUUUUCUGGGUUUGUCCUCCUCAACUUAUGAUACGUGUAUGCGAAACUCAGCUGAUCACGAGGAGUAAAUCGAUCGACCUCAUUAAACCAAAGACAAGAAAACAGGUUUGACAUAGGCGUGUGAGCUCGUACAAUGAAGGACCCUUCAGGUACAUCUGUCAAUAACCCAGAAAACAUUCUAUUAAGAUCAUACCAGAAGCUGAAGCUGAAAGAUUUCAGAAGCAGACAAGAAACAGAAUCUUACUGCUAGGAAGAAGUUUGUUAGGAUCUGAUGCAUUAAAUCGUUUUAGCCCAUCAUUUUGGUAAAAUUGAAAUUGUUCAUCUAUGACAGUAUGAUUGUACUUGUUAAGCUUCUUAUUUUGAGCAACUUCCUCCCACACACAGUGGCGAUCAUAGUGAUUAGAAAUAGCAUAUUCAUGACCUUUCCGCCAAAGGAAAUAUUCCAAGAUAAGCAGUGGAUCAAGCUGUAGACGUAGCUUGCUGUCUAACCAGAUUGAAUACCUGAACACAACAUAGUAGCAGCAUUUAACCAUCCAAAAAGAUCAUUUGAAAUGCAUAAUCCAACUUUGAAUAAAUAAAAGUGAAUUCAGGAUUGUCAAGCUAUGUCUUAUAGGACAGCAAAAAAGAGGUUGUUUCUUCUGUCCAACUGCACCUUGUAUGGACACAAUUUGGUAUGAUUGACAUUUAUUGCAGCACUUGUGAACAGAAGGAAACCCAGCACACAGGAACAAGUGACUGAGCAGGAAAGGCUCUCAAAUAGAAUCACUACAGCAAUUCAUCAACUUGAAUGCCCAUUUUUCUGAAUUCUAAAUUUACCAUUGUUCCUGCUUGGCCACUGACUAACUACGAUCAAGCACCUCAUCACCAAGAUACACAAAGAAUAUGUGAAAAGUACAGGUGAAAAGAAUACUGGUGAUUAAAAAAAAAAGCAACACACAAAAAUCGGUCAAAUUGAUUUGAAUCAAUCUCUAGAUGGUAAAUUAUAAUAUUGUUUACCACCAGAGAUAGAAGUAAGUCAGUAACCUAAUAAGAAUCACCAAUGAGCACCACUCGAGUUCAACAAUAUUAACAACCAUAGUACUUCAAUAUCUUGAAACAUCUGGCGAAAGACAUGAUCUGAAGAUUAAGAUUAACGCGAAGAUUAAGACUUCCUCCUUGGUUCUAGACUUCAGAAGAAUAUGAUGUUUAAAACCUCAUGAUAGUUAAGUCCACGGCUUGACACACUUUGAUAUAUAUAACAGGACAAAACUGCCAAACACGAUGGGGCAGCUUUCAAAAGUUUACCGGAUUCUGUUCACUAACUAACAGUGUAACUAAAUCUUAAUCUUUUUUUGGGUCUUUUUUUUUGUUGGUUGUUUUGUUGUUUGGUGGGUUGGGGGGGGGGGGGGUCCAAUUAACCAUUAAGGUUUCACCAUACAAGUACAAUGUGGAAUCUGUCAGAUAGUCUCAGCAUUUGCCACCAUCGGUUGAACCAAUAUUCUUCACAAAACAUUCAAACUACAGAUUGAAAUGGCAAUAGUGAAAAGAACAACAUAGAAAGAGGAAAAAGAUACAAGUCAAAUGACAGUGACACCUCUAACCAUAUAUAGCUACAGUAAACAUAUAAUGAUAGCAUAAAGAAACCUGGGCCAUUAUACAUAAGAAAAAUGUCUUCCAUCAUAUCCAUGAAGCCGCUAGUAAAAAUAGAAGUAAAACAAGGAGUUACAUGGUUAACCUCAGAAUCAAUUUAAAGGUCACUGAAUAACUACUCUCUUACCUAGCUGAAGGAAAAAGUCGGUGUGACAACAAUUUUGGAACCUUUCCUACUCUCCGCAUGUCAGUGUAAGGCAGAUUCUUCACUACUACAACUUUCCACAGUCCAAUGAAGCCCAUUCUGUCUAGCAUAUGGCCCUCCGAAGAAAGAGCUUGUAAAGUAGCUUCAUCAACAAACAUAACAAAGCAAACAUUUUUCCUGGAUAAACGAGAGACCUGCAAGAGGAAAGAAAGAGGAUGGAUGAAUGUAAGUGAAGAUAAUAUCAUAUUCAUCACCAUAAUAAAUCAUUUGAACGAAACUUAUUUACUGACCAGAUAAAGGAAAAGUAAAGAAAAGAAAUAAGCAAUUUUAUCUACUGAUCAUAAGGAAUGAGUCGAAUGUGUACACAAAUAGGAUCUGCAUCCAAGUAACAUUCUGUAAUUGGAAACAAAGAUAUUUUAAUUUAGCAUUCUUUCAGGAUAUCACAUUCACAAUGUCCGUGACAACUAAGAGAAAAGAAAAGGGCAUGCUCUUCAACCGAAGAAGGAACAGAAGCCACACUCUGCCUCUUCUGCUUAACGUGUUGAGCACAACAUAGGCAUAUGCUGGGCAAGAAAGUCUGGGAAUAAGUAGAAACUAUUACCUACAAAAAUGCAUAGAAAGAGGACAGACGGACAGACAAAGAGGAAAGGACAUGAAAAAAUAUCUUUGGAGAUGGAAAAACCGUCGACUGAGGAGAGAAGAAGCUCAAAAUUGAGCAAAGGCAGGUAAAAUUCAUUAAACAUUGCAAAGAAUCAGUACAUCUCACAUUCAUGUGUUUAUCAUGUUCAAGCAACCAACCACUCUCUACAGCCUCAUCACCGAAGUGUCAUGGUAACCCAAAGCAUUCAUGGUCAAUUGCCUUUGUACAUAAUACAUGUUUUAUUAGUUAACAAGAGUUGACCAAGGAGGCAAUAAGGGUGCUUUCCAUUUAGAAGCAAAUUUUCACCCCAAAGUGAAAGCUAUUUUCAUAUUAAAACUUCCAAUUUAUUGUGAGGAAUACAAUUUCCAAGAAAUUCCAUAUGCAAAUCAAAUUACAAAUCCAUUAAAACUUGAAACAAAUUUUGAGAAGAAUUUUAGAUACUUGAUACUUGAUAUGCCUCAUGCUUUAUACAUAGAUAGAUAUUAAAAGAAAAGGGAUUGGCAGAAUUUAAGGCAAUAGGAGGGUAGGAGAAGGGAAAGGAAUUAAUAGAACCAUCAGUAAGCUACGAGGUUAACACUUUACUGUAAACUGUCAGCCCUUCAUAAAGCUGCAGUAAAGGAUGUUCUUAUAUUAUUCCUCCAGAUUACUGUUUCUAAAGACUAUAACAGCUAAAGGAUGCAGAAGUUUUACCAAGAAUAUUGGAAAAAUGAAACACAUCUCACCAUUUUUCCAACAGGUAUUCUCAACCGAUCUGAAUUUCCAAAAAUGCAAGACACCACAGCAAUGUGACAACUGCUUAUAUAUUUAGCAUCAUCUUCUGCCAGGUCGAAUCCUGUACUAGGAUAUCCACUAGAACCUUUUACAAAGCCACAGUUUAUUUUCUGAUCAUGUGCAAUAAAAGAUUCUUCCCUUUCUCUUAGACUCUGAUGCCCAGCAAAUCUAGGUUGCCACUCUUCAUCAUCAUUGGGUUUUUCUUCUGCUUCUGUAUACUGCAAGGAAAACCUUGCAAAUUUUCGGCUUUCUAAAGGUUCUACAAGCAGUGCAGUAGAGUUUAGAAGUUUCAUCUCGCAAGAACCUGAAAUCAUAUAGUAAAAGUUGGCCAAAUGAAUGUUCACAUUCAGGUGAAUAUGAUGAAAUUUAAACUACAAAUAAACCACAUAAACUGCCUACACCAAUCACAAGCAACUAUCCCUUACUUUUUUGUCUUGUCUAUAUCAACAUGUGAGUGAAUGCAUAUUAACCUAACACUAUGUCAUAACAGGCACAAACAAUUAAUGCUAAAAUCAAUUAUGGAUCCAUGUAGCAACAAGAAGUAUAGGAUAAAAUAAUAGAAAUGCUUCAAGCUAAAAAAGUGUCUUAGAUACAAAAUUAAAGGUUCUUCACUUGAGAUUACAGCCCAUUAUUGUCAACCCAAUAGUUGAUUCAGUACCAAGCACAACCUAGCCAUUAUGAGCUCCAAUAUUAAGUGCAGCAUCAGAUAACCACGUAACACAUUAGUACAAGUGUGUGGUAAUCAUAUCAUUUCAUAUUCUUACCACCUUUUCCCAAAACAAGAAAAUAAAAAAGAAUAAAAAGAAUUUCAACGUUCAUGUCAACAAACCCAAACACCAUGAUUGGUUUUCACAUACAAAGAAGAGUGGUGAAGCACCACGGCUUGUUCAGGACUCAUCCACAUGACCAUGUCACUACAUCAGCAAUCACUCAAAAGCUAUAACAUUUAAAGACACACGUAGUAGAAAUAGCAGAGACUGACCAGAAAAUUUACGGCGUUUCGACUUCUUUUUGGAACCAGACCGUUUUUCAGUAGCAGACCUUCUAGAAUAUUGACUAUCAAUAGGACGUGCAUGUCUGAAUGACCAGGAACUUUGCCAGAAUGUUCUGAGCUGGAAGCUGACUCCUUGUCAGAUAAAUCAGUGGAAGCUUCAUCAACCUCGUGAACAAUAUUUUGAUGCUUGGUUUGAGCUUUAAGUAAAUUAGCAGACUCUCCACCAUCUAGAUCAUAUGAUGUAGUUGCACCAGAAUGGUCCCCAUCAUCCUGUUCCAUUUCACCAUCGUCUUCCUUCCUACCAUCCUGUAAGUCAAUACCAUCAUCAUACUCAUCAUCAGGAUCCACCAUCUCAGUCUCAUUUCCACUACUAGUACGAUCAUGAGAUAGCAGAUUUCCACCAUCAUGUUCUUUUGACUGCCCAAUGUUCUUCAAAGAUGCCUCAUAUUCAGCUUCAUACAUUUUUAAUUCAUUACGCCCUGCCUCAUUAUAUAAUCCAUUCCCUCUAUGACCCAAGCCUUUAUGAGAUUCAUCACUAGAAGAUUUCCUACCACUGUUUUUACCCUUCUCAGGAACAUGAUCCUUAUUUACAGAAUGAUCCCUAGCCUCCUCAUGAUAAUCUUCAUCUCGUCUCCUAUCAUCACCAUCCCAAUAACGCGAAUCUUUACCAUGUGUAACCGACCCAUGGCCAAAUUUUACGGUAUUAUGUUUCUUUGUACGUGUAACAUUUGUAAGAAAAUCUGUAUCAUUUACGAAGUCAUCAUCCUGUAUUAAGUUACUAUGUGUGUCUGCAGCAAGACAACAGAAACAUGUAUUAGAAGUCAAGUUCUAAAACUAUCAAAUAUAUAUUCACUGAUUUGUGACUAACACAUAAUAAAAAGAAUCUCUAGUAAAUGAAGUCAAGCUUCAGCAAUUAUGGUAUCUGUAAAGCAUCAGGGAGAAAGAAACAUAUUUUGGCUCACAAAUCUGUGAUCCCCUUGCUGGCAUAAGUCUGGUGCUUGAUUUGUCAAAUUUCAAUGUCAGUCACAGUGAUACCAAUGACAGACUUAAUUCAGUUCGUGUCUUCCAAUAAUAUGUACACAUUUUUUUUUGCAGUGAAAUCCCAUUCUCAUUCAUUAUUUAAAACUUUAAUUUCAUUAGUAAAGGGCUGGACCAGUUAUCAGUCUAACAUUCAAGAAUCAAUCAAUGCAAGUACAAAAUCAAUCAACAAAAGCAAUUUUCAUAUACUGUUCACCAAGUCACCAAGCCCCAACAUUUGCAUCAAACACUGAAACCCUCAGUUAACCUAAACUGCAAAAGCUUGAAAAUCAACUUGGCGUUCUAAUGUCACUGCCAAUCUCCUCCUCUAAUCCUUGAGAAGGGAAAAUCGUUUGUGCCCCUUCUCCUAAUCACAGUAGCAGUAGCAGCAGUACAACGGCAAGCUUUCCCAACUAAGUCAAACGUUCCAAAUUUGCAUCAAAUCAACAACCAUAAUCUAGUUUAAACAAACAAUUGCAAAAUUGAAUUCAAUUUCCACAUUGUCAGCAUAUUCUAGUUCCGAAAAAAGCUAACUCUUCUGCUAAACUAAGAAAAAGAAAAAACACGAGCAAAAAUUUAAAAACUGUGUUUCAAAAAGAACCCCAAAAAAAAAAGUAGAGAUAAAAUUAGAAUGUGCAAAUGUACCUUUAUCUUUUGAAGAGAGGAAGAGGAAAGCGAAGAUAGAGGCGACGAAGGCAACGAAGAGAAAGAGAAUAAGGGCGCCGACGAUGGAGAUCUUGCGACCCUUUAUUAACCGACGGUGGUGAAGAUGGUGACCGUAACGGGAUUGCUGCUUAUGCAAAGCACCAGAACGAAUCCCAAUCGAUACGUGGUGGUUGUGAUCCGACGAAACGCCGCCGUUCCUCAAUCCACCGCCGCCAUUGAAACCAGUGAAUUUCCGCAUUGUCGAUUCGUCAACUCAUCUACUUAUUUACUUAUUUAUUUUGUUUUACUUAUAUACUGAUGAAAAUAUGGACAAAAGAGAGAGAGAGGGAGAGGGGUUUAUGUGACUGAGUUUCAGUGAGUUUUCAGUGAGAGAGAAAUUGGGGAGGUUUCCGUCUCACUCUGUGUAAAAGAGUGUGUUUUAGUGUGUGUGUGUCUGUGUGUGUUUUGGACUCACCGGAGAAGGGAAGGAAGUGGAGAGCGGCUUCCUGAUCCCUGCCUCUUGGUGAAGUUACGGAAGUACCCUUCAAGAUUUGGUUAAUUGAUUGACAUCAAAUCUAAUCUUUGUUAUUAGAACGAUAAAUGGAAAAGAGAACAAUUAUCUUUCCCUCUUAGUGGUACACGUGAUCGAAAAGAAUUAAUAGAUUAAUGGAUGCUUGGUUUUACUCAUUUUUGCAUCUAGUUCUCUUCCAACCAAUUUUAUCUGCAAUUUCUCUCACUUCUACCAACCUCUAUCUUAUUAAUAAAUUUGAAUUAGUAUUCUUUUUAUCCAUGUAUGGUAAAUUUUCUUUGCGUUAAGCGUUAACUUAGUUGUUACAUUGGUAAGCUUAUUAAUUUUGAUAGAUACUAAUAAAUCAUUUAUGUAAAAAUAGAUCAUUGUACUUUUUGCUUUUGUUUUAAAUUGAAAAUGAAUAAGGAAGUAUGACAAAAUUUAAUUCUUAUCUCGAAGAAUGCUUGUUAUUUCUUUGUAUAUGAAUUAAUAAAAGUUUCUAAAAACCAAUAUGGUAAACUCGUGAGGAGAGAGAAGAUAGGUUGUUCGACAAAGGGAGUGUAAGGGAGAGAUUUUGGAUUCUAACCCUCCUACUUAUAUUAUAAAAAAUUUAAAAACAAAGACUACCAAAAAAAACUAUAAAAGACUAUAAUAAAAAGUGAGUAUAAGUGAGAGGCUCCGAGUUUGAACCCUCUCACUUACACUAUAAAAAUUUGUUUAAAAGGAUUAAUAUGGUAGUUAAAUAUUUGGAGUAUAAUUGUAGACACCAAAAAUUUCAUUUAUUUAAUUCAAUAUUAGCUUUAUUUUUUUAUUCUUAUUUUAUUUUAUUUUAUUGAUUAAGUGAUAGUUAGUAUUCAUUUUUGCUUGUUUUUAUAAAUUAGGUUCAUAAUUUUUAUUUUUAAGAUAUUUUUGCAUUAAAAUUUUGAAAGGAAAAUUUCACAAAAAUAUGUUUUAAUCAUCUUAAUUCGAUUUCUUUAAAGUAAAUGAAAAUGUUGCAAUGCAAUUUCAAUUAGGAAUUAGCUUUUUCUUUGUUUACCUAAAUUGAUUUUGAAAAACAAAAAUAUAAUAAAUAAAUGAAAAAUAAAAGAUAGGUGGAGGUUUGCAUGUUGGACAAGUGUGCUAAAGGAGCAUUAGACAAGUGUAUUAGAGAAGUAUUGGACAAGUGUUAGUGCAUGUAAAUAGGACAAGUGUCCCCAUUUUGUUGAUACCACAUGCAAGGAGGGAGGUGGCAAGACAAGUGUUCAGCCUAGGAAAAUUUGAAGAAAAAACAAACAAAAGAAUAUGGAAAAGUGAGAGAGGCUACGGAAACAAGAACGGGACAAGGGGAGAGGGACACGGAGAAAGGGUUCGGUUAAGGGAAGAAAACUGAAGAGAAAUGGGAAAGGAAAAGAGGAGAAGGCUACGGACGAGGAAAAACAAAAAGGAAAAGAGAGAGAGUUUGGCAGCUAAAGGAAGAGAAAACAAGUAGCUACGGGCAAGAAGGAGAAAAAAAAAAAGAGAGAGAGCUGGGGGAAGUAGGAAGAAGAACCAAGCAAGAAAAAAGGAAGCUACGGGAAGCAAGGGAGUGGCGGCUGAGGAACUGAGAGAGGGUUUGAGAAAAGAAAAGGGGGAACUUGGGAAAUCUGGAAGGGAACUGGAGGGAGAAAAAAGGCUGGUGUGAGUUCGGGAAAGAUCUGGGGGCGGGGGAAGGAACAGAGGUCGUGUUGGAGCAAACAGGAAAGAAAGGGUGGCUAAGAGAAAAGAAAAGAGCUUUGGGCUGGGAAAACGAAGCAAGAAAGACUACGGGAAUCAGCAGGAGAAACCAAGCAAAGAAAAAACAAGAAAAACUAAGAGAAAAGGGAGAGCUGAGGGGGAAAACAGGGAGGGAAAAAAGGAGGAGAGACUGCGGGGAGUUGGAAGAACAAUGGAGAAAGAAAAGGCUUGAGAAAAAUCUGGAAAGGAAGAGGGUCUAGGAGGGGAAAAGAAGAAAGGGUUUUCGGGAGGAGAGGAAAAAAGGGAGAACCGAGAAAGGCAAGCAAGAAGGAUAGGGUUUCGGCUGAGGAAGAAAGAAAAGUGAGAAAGGAAGGAAUCUGGGGAGAGAGCUUUAGGGAAGAAUUUGGGAGAAAAGAGAGAGCUUGGGACACGGAAAAGAAAGAAAAGAGAGAGGAGAUCGAGCGAGAGGUGAAACUGAGAAUUUUUGCUGCAAAAGUUCAUCACCAAGUUGACGAACCAGCAUAGUUUCGCACCAAAUUCUGGCCCAGUUCUUAGCUUUUUGAGUAAACUCUUGAUUUCUGCACUAUCUUGGCAUGAAAUACAAGAACUUUCAUUCAGGAAUCUCCUCAAAACAACCUCUCUGAGCUUCCCAAAUCAGGACCAAAAUAUCGGGUUCAUCAUUGCUGCAAUUUUCUGCAACGAAGCUCUUGGCUUCAUUCUUGGAAUCAACACUCCUUUCUGGCAUAUUUCACGUUCAAUCGACUACAUAAGUACUCUUAGGUAACCGUGACUCUUCUCCUUGCUAGUUUAACACAUUUUUCACGAAGAUCUAAGUCAUUGGACAUGAACUCUUGCACUCUUGUUGUCGGUUCCAUUACCCUGACAUCUUAUUUAUUUUUCUUUCCAUGAAUAUGGUAGGGAAUAUAUGAACCAAGGAUCUUUUUUUUUAUUAUUUGUUUCUGUUAUCAAAAGGGAAGAAUAAUGCAUGUGAAAUUUGUUGGUGAAACGGCCACAACAAUGUUAACACUAUUUGCUUGAGUCGUGCGUAGCGCUGUCCUAAGAAACUAUUUCAUGAAAUUGAAAUGUCUCCCAGGAUUAAACAAGCCUUCUUCUUGUUGCGAACAAGAAAGACAAACUUUCUUUGUUGCAAACUAGAAGGACCAGAACUAGCAAAUAAAUAUAUAAAUCCAGCAGAGUAAUAGGAGGAAGAAGUAGAAGGGGACUGAUAGGAAGGUAUCUACUGUCAGUGGGAGAUUUUGGAAGAAAGUUGAUAGAAGGUAUCAACUGUCAGGGGAGAGGAAGUGGUGCAUUUUUCAAGGGGAAAUAGCACCUAUUUAUAGGUUUUAGAAUGAGGUGCAACCCUUCUCACUUCCGAUAUGGGACAAAGACUGUAAGUUUUCUCAUUUCCCGAUGUGGGACAAAGAAAGCAAUCAUUUUCAUUUUUCUAUGUGGGACAAAAAUUUUGAAAUACUUUUAUAUUUUACAACAAUCUCCUUCCUAUUUCAAAAGGUUUUGGACAAAAGAUAAGAAAAUAAUCUACUGGAUUCAUUUGGGUGGAAUGUAAUUCGUUUGGUGUUUUUUGGACUAUGAACCAAACUUAGAUUGAUAAAACGUGACUUACAAAAUUAUUGGUGAAAUAUAAAUUUCUAUGAACCAAUAACUCUUGAAGUAUGACAGAGAUUUUAUCAAUCACAUUACAACCCAUAAUUUGCUAUUAACACGAUUUUGCGCCUUUUGGCCGUGCGCCUGCCUGGUUAUUCAUGAGAGUUCUAAAGAUUUGACCGAUGAAUCUUAUAGGAGCGGCCCCACUUGACUCUCAUAUAGGUGAAUUCAUCAAGUGUGUAUUGUUUUAACUACACCUCCCUAAUGGGAUAUGAAUUCAUUAAGAGUUUUAACUCAUCCUCACAAUUAUUCAAAGCACUUAUCUCCGGAGGGACUUAAAUUUGAAGUGUUUUACCAUCAAUAUUGACUUGUUAUUACCCAUAUGAACCUAUUUCAUGGGAUCACCAAUCACAUAGGUUGGGUUACCGUCUCUAUUGACAACUUGUUGGUCGAAGUCCCAUUUCUUUUGAAGUUUGAAGAAUCAAUUUUCUUCCUACGGGUUUAAUCAGAGGAUUGGCCAAAUUCAACUCUGAUUUCACAUAAUCAAUGGAAAUAAUUCCAUCUCUAAGCAGCUGCUUUACGUCAUCAUGUUUCAAUCUCAUGUGUCGACUUUUACAAUUAUACGAUUUAUUUUUAGCAAUAGCAAUAGCCGCUUGACAAUCACUAUAUAUAGGCACGGGAGGCAUCAGAUCCUUAUUUGAAGGAAUAUUAGCUAAGAAAUUCCUUAACCAAUCAGUCUCAGAACCAGUCAACCCCAGAGCUUAAACUCUGACUCCAUAGUUGACCUGGCAAUGACUGUCUGUCUGGCUGACUUCCAUGCUACUGCACCACCACCAAGGGUGAACACAUAACCACUAGUGGAUUUUGUAUCAUUUGAAUCAGAGAUCCAAUUAGUAUCACUGUAUCCUUCUAGUACAGUGGGAAAUCCACUAUAUAAAAUACCAUAAUUUAUGGUACCUCUCAAAUAUUUCAUUAGUCUAACCAAUACAAACCAAUGCUCAUGAUUGGGAUUAUGAGUAUAUCGACUCAGUCUACAUACAGCAUAGGCUAUAUCUGGUCUUGUAAAAUUCAUUAAAUGCAUCAGAUUCCCAAUUAUCUAAGCAUAUUUCAACUAAGCAACUGGGUCACCAUUAUUUUUCUUUAAUUGAGUGUUAGCAUCAUAGGGAGUGGUUACAGGUGUUUCAUCAUAAUUUUCAAACUUCUUAAGAAGUCUCUCUGUAUAAUGCUCUUGUGACAACAUUAUACCAUCAUCUCUCCUUAUGAUUUUAACACCCAAUAUCAUUUAACUUCACUCAUAUCUUUCAUAUCAAAAUUGGAAACAAAAAUUCUUUAGUGCUAUUGACAAUAUUUAGACUAGUAUCAAAAUAUAAGCAUGUCAUCUACAUACAAACUAAUUAUCACAUAUUGAUCAUUUACAAUUUUAACAUAUACACAUUUAUCCAUUUUUACAGAUGAAAAUCCGUCUUUGAUUGAUCAAAUUUCUCAUGCCACUGUUUAGGAGCUUGUUUUAGGCCAUAAAGAGAUUUAGUUAAUUUACAAACCUUAUUUUCUUGUCUAGAAAUAAUACAUUCCUCAGGUUGGAUCAUGUAAAUUUUUUCUUCUAAAUCACCAUUUAAAAAAGCUAUUUUGACAUCCAUUUGAUGAAUAAAAAGUUUAUGAAUAGAAGCCAGGAAGCCAGUGCAAAUAAAACACGAAUAGAGGCAAUCCUUGUUACUGGUGCAAAUGUGUCAAAAUAUCAAUAUUUUGUUUUUGAAAAAAUCUCUUAGCUACUAGACGAGCUUUAUAUUUAUCAAUAGAGCCAUCAGGAUUAUAUUUUCUUUUGAAAAUUCAUUUGCAACCAAUAGAUUUUGCACCAGGUGAUAAAUCUACCAAAAUCCAAGUUUUAUUUUUCAUAAUAGAGUCAAUUUCAGUUUUAAUUGCUUCUUUUCAAAAUUUGCUAUCAGAAGAAGAAAUAGCAUCAAAAUAAGUUAAAGGAUCAUUAUCAACAAAAAAGGUUUGAAAAUCAUUCCUAUAGAAAAAUUCUUUUCUCGGCCUUUUACUCAUUGUCAACUCCUCAUUAGAGGUUGUUUCUUUGUUUAUUUCAACAGGUGCAUGAGAAAUUUUAUUAGACAGUGGAAAAAUAUGUUCCAAAAAUUCAGCAUUCUUUGUCUUAAUGAUUGUAUUACAAUCAAGUACAUCACUUCUUAAAACAAGAAAUCUAUAUGCAGCACUAUGUUCAGCAUAUCUAAUAAACAUAUAAUCAGAAGUUUUAGAACCUAAUUUUCUUUUCUUAGGUUCAGGCAAUAAUACUUUAGCUAAACACCCCCACACUUUUAAAUAUUUCAAAUUAGGUUUAUAAUUUUUUCACAAUUCAUAAGGUGUUUUGCCAGUCCUUUUAUGUGAAAUUCUAAUUUGUAAAUGACAAGCGGAUAAAAUAGCUUCACCCCACAAAUUAUCAGGAGCAUGAGAACUAACUAACAUGAAUUUCAUCAUUUCUUUUAAUGUUCUAUUUUUCCUUUCAGCUACACCAUCAUAUUGUGGUGAAAAGGUGGUGUUAUUUCAUGUAUUAUACCUUCAAAAAAAAAGUUCUUCAAGAAAAAGAAGAUAGUCCAUGAACUCAAGACAGAACAUAAGAAAUGUAAUGAUACCUCACACAAGCAAUAGAAUCAGAAGCAUAGCAAGAUAUCACAGAAAAUCUGAUCAUUGAAACCCAAAUGCAACCUAAUAAUUCAUGCCUAAUAAAGAAAAAUAUCUUGUCUAAAGAACGAGUAUUCAAACAAUUUGCCAAGAGAAAAAAGUUGCAAGUGAAUUUCUAGUUUCCAUAUCAAAGCUUAAACUAAGGCUCCCAUUCAUUCAUCAAUAUCCUAUCUGCGUUGACCUUGUAUCUGUUCUGGCUAAGGUGUCUUUUAUGUGCAUGUGCAUAUUUAAGGUGGCAAGCCCAAGAUUUCAGCUAGACAUCCACUAAUGCUACUAUUACCAAUACUGAAGGGCAGUUGUUAUAGGAAAAAGGGAAGAGAGGGACUGAGAGAGUCUAUCCUUUGGAAAAGAUAACUGAAAAAAAUCUCAAGAUAGCACACACCAAAACACAUAUGCAAAGUUGGAAUAUACCAGGAAUAAGUUGACCUUCAAUUUAAUAUGCUUCAAAUAAGUUGUUCCUUUGGACAAGUGGGGAAGAGUUACGUCCAUGAUUCUAAAUUGCGUAUCUACAUUCUAGCACUACCACAAUGAUAAAUCAAAAGAAAUCAACAUCUCGAUUGUUUAAGCAAAAGAAUGCAUGGCAAGAUAGCAAAACAUGCUCUACGUCAUAGACAAAAUAAGAGUACAAUUGGAAACAGUAAUUUGAAGUUCCAACUAUAUGCAUAUAUAGAUUCCCAAGAAUAUGAUUCUUCGAUUCAAAGAGGACUAGAAAAUGUUUAUGUAGCUUGAAAAUGGAAAAUUACACUUGUUCAUCUUAGGAGUUAUAUGCAAGGUAAAGAGGAAAUACAAAUCAGCACAAAGCAAAUAACAGAUAUUCAAAGAUGCUGACAGCUGAUCCAAAAAAGGCAAUUAUGCAACUCAGUCUUGUCUCAUCAAUGGACUUCACCAGACUGCGAAUACGCCAUUUUUCCAGAGGCGAUGGAGGAGGAGGAGGCAGCUGGAUGCAAAAAUUGCGGGCUAUGGUGUUAACACUGUCGGAAGCCAUAGUUUCUUAGAUUGUUAGUGAAACGACCACAACAAUGUUAAUACUAUUGCUUGAGUCGUGCGUAGCACUGUCCUAAGAAACUAUUUCAUGAAAUUGAAAUGUCUCCCCAGAAUUAAACAAGCCUUCUUCUUGUUGCGAACAAGAAAGACAAACUUUCUUCUUGUUGCAAACUAGAAGGACCAGAACUAGCAAAUAAAAUAUAAAUCCAACAGAGUAAUAGGAGGAAGAAGUAGAAGGGGACUGACAGGAAGGUAUUUACUGUCAGUGGGAGAUUUUGGAAGAAAGCUGACAUGAAGGUAUCAACUGUCAGGGGGAGAGGAAGUGGUGCAUUUUUCAAGGGGAAAUAACACCUAUUUAUAGGUUUUAGAAUGAGGUGCAACUCUUUCACUUCCGAUGUGGGAUAGAGAAAGCAAUCAUUUUCAUUUUUCGAUGUGGGACAAAACUUUUGAAAUACUUUUAUAUUUUACAACAAAAUUUGGCUAGAUUUAGGUUCCGUUAGUGGCACAUGUUGAUUAUCUCUCGUUGCUUUCAUUUCCUUUCCUCCUGUUCGUUGGUUUGUCCCAUGAGCCGAUGUCUUCAAUCUGAAGUUGUGGAGUUUUUAUUCUUGGAUGAUCUUGCUAGGAGUUUUGAAUAGAUUUAGACUUGGUUGCUUUGCCUUUUCAUGGUGUGAUAUGCAUGCGAAUUGUUGGUUAUAUUCAAUGGACUACUGUAGCAAAGCAAACCCAGAAACCUAUGAAUGAACCUGGAAUUUGCAAGCUUUUUUCUCAUUUUAAAUUUUCCUCUCUCUUGUAUGGUAUCUUGAUGAUGAGUUUAUGAAGCUUAAUGUGAACUUGGAGGUCAGAUAUUUCUAGUUGUUGAAAUUUUUGUUUUGCCGCAUAAGGUUGCUGAAGUUCCAAAGCUUCAGGAGUUGCCGAAAGUUUCAGUUGCAGAAAUCUUCUUCGUAGCUUGCAUGCAAAUCAAAGACAAAUUGCAUUUUAACCCCUCAAGUUUUUCCUUGUUCUACUAUGGCCCAGAAAAUUAGAAAAAUCAAUCAAUUUUGUCCUUUUAAAAUGUUAUUUUUCUUUGACAUGCUUUAAUGUGAUUUUGGACAGAUUAUUCAUGAAAUUUUAGGAUGAAAUUUGAAGGUUUAAUAAUUUUUGAUAGAUUUAUUGUUUUUUAUUUGAAUUUUGUAAAAAUGAUUUUAGAUUUGGGUAGUAUUUAUUUUGUUUUGGGUUUUGGUGAGGGGGUUUUCAUUUAUUUCUUGUGAAUUUUAACAUUAGGUUUGGUAAGUUUCAUCUUAAGCCCUUAAUUUUAUUUUAUUUUAGGCCCCUUAAUAUUGUAAUAAUAAUGACUUGAUCCCUCAAACUUGUUUAAUUCUUUCAAUUGGGUCCUUGUUUGUUCUAAUUUGUUGAAUAUGGGUUGUUUAUUUUAUUUGAAUGCUAUGAGUGAUUGAAUUUCGUGUUUAUUUCCAUUUCAUGUGAUUAUUUGUUAAUUAAAACGAUGCCUUGACCUUUUUCUUUGUUUUGAAGGGUGAAUAAGGAAAAUUUUAUUUCAUUAGAUCACCAAUUCAAGGGAGGUACACUCUACUUCUUUAUUUUGAUUUUACUUAAUCCUAUGUGCUCCUAUGUGAAUUUAUGUGUGUAAUUGCAUGUAUGUUGAAUGUUUUGUUAUUUAUUUUGUUUUUGUUUAUUUAUUCAUUUUAUUUGUUUCUUUUAAUUUCAUAUAUUCAUUCAUUUAAUUUUUGAUUAUUUAAGAGGCAUUUAAAUGCCAAAUUGUAAUAGUUAGGGGAUUCAAGACAUGUAUUUAGAUAAAAUAUGUAAUAGUUAGGUAUUUAUUUUAUUAUUUAUUUUAUUCCUCCCCCCUUUAGAUUGUAGUUAGGGCCCCCAAAUGUAAUAGUUAGGUUUCUAUUUGGUUUGUGUGUUUUGCAUGCUUGUGUGUUACGUGUUACUCGAUUUUUUAGGGCUUUGCAUCUAGAUAUCAUGCUUAUAUGCUAUGUGUUUUAUGUGAUAUUAUGUGUUUACUUACUUUUAUUAUGUUUUAUAUGAUUAGUUUAGUUGUAAUCAAUGUGUGACGUCACCAUACUAGUUCAACACUAGUUGUGACCUUUUUCCUCGAUUUCUUGCUAGUCCAACGCUAGUGAGAGCUCAUAAACAUGGGCUAAUCCAACGCUAGAUCCUUAGGAACCGUCCACGCAUUAGAUCAUGAUUCUGUGACAAUCACUACAUUUGCAUGCAUAUUUUCUAUCUUUUAGGGUUUUUAUCAUUUUGCAUGACAUUUCCCUUAUAUGUACAUCUCUUAUCCCAUAUUCCCCUAUAUGUAUAUCUCUUAUCCCAUAUUUUUCCUAUAUAUAUAUACCUUAUCCCCAUGUGUGACACAUGACAUUGGACUUGCAUUCCAUUUAAGAAUUAGAACUAAAUUAGUACAUUUGCAUGAUUAGAUAGGAGAAAUACCCCUCGAAUAUGGGAUAUGGAUGAGUAUGGCUCUCUAACUUUAGCAUGCUCGUAUUCCCUCUAUUAAAGGGAACAUUGAAGUCACGAAUAUUAGCUCCUCGCAGCCAUUAUGAUGCAUUCCUUUAGGUCAUGUAUAUUUGUAUAUUAUUAUUUUCUUUUCUUUUCUUUUCUUUUCUUUUCUUCGAGUCUUAUAUUUUUGUAUAUUCGUGACCUCUUCAACGAGUCACUCGCUUGGGCGUCGCAAUUAAUGCGAUUUGCACCAAUCAAACUUUGAAGAAACAUCUUGACCCUUCUGAUAUAUAUUAGAUCUAGGAUUUCAUUCAUAUAGUGACAUCCAAAUAUGAUAAAUUUUUAGGUUAAAAUAAGAAAUUUGUUUACUAAAUCAUGCAACUAGUCUUGGCUAGGUUGAAAGGGUGUUUUGGAUUUUAUUCUUACUUUCCCUUUCUUCAAACGUGACUCCCGAACAUUUUUCUCUAAUUUUCGAAGACUUGGAGUCGUUUAAAAAGGGUUUUAUCUACUUUUUUUUUUAAAAAUUUCAUUUUAGGUAACUUGGUACACCUUAACUCAAUACCAAGUGGCGACUCCUAUUUUUUAUUAUUAAAAACCCUUUUUAAACUAUUAUUUUGGGGCCAAAACCUUCGCACUUUUAUGUCCCAUUUAGGCCCAUUUUCUUUAUUUAUUUUUAAAAAAUCAAAAGCUCAUUUUUCACUCAAAAUUAAUCAAAAAUCCAUUUUCAUAAAUCAUAAACUAAUUUUAUUUUUUCAUUUAAAAUGGGGCGCGACAAUAAUAAGAAGCGGUUUUUGCCACUAUUCACUGCUUUUUGGGUCUACCAACUUGGGGGGCUUUUUCUGAUCAUUUGUAUUGGACAAUUUGAUGUUUGUGUCGCUUAGUGUACAAUAACUUGGUGCGUGUAUGUUGUUUGAGUUGAUUGCUUUGCCCUUGGUAUGCUCCAUGGCUUCUGGUGCCUUGGCCCCGAGGGCUUUUUAGUCAAUUUUUGCUCCGUAUUGUUGCUGUUAUUACAUACUGUACAACAGAUUCCUACAUGUGUUUUGAUGUAAAUUACUAUUUUGACCUUCAUAUACAUAUGUUCCUUCAUGCAGCUUUAUUAGUAUGCGUUUGUAUUGUAGCCUUUGCCUAAAAUUUCACGUUGUCUCACGUGAGUUGAGAUAAUUAUUUCUACUUAUUGUGUAUUUGUAUUAACUAGAAUAGAUGGAAGAGGUCAAUCAAAGAAUAAUAUUCAAUAGUCUCUAAUUAUAUCUUUCUCCUUGGAGAUACUCUUUGCACCGACUAUUUAUGCCCUAUUCUUGAAUAGCAUAAUAAUUUCUUGUAUUAACUAGAAUAGAUGGAAGAGGUCAAUCAAAGAAUAAUAUUCUAUAGUCUCUAAUUAUAUCUUUUUCCUUGGAGAUACUCUUUGCACCGACUAUUUAUGCCCUAUUCUUGAAUAGCAUAAUAAUUUCAGUUGAGAUCUUCUAUUUGCUCAUUUGAAAGACCUACCAAUGUUUUAAAAAGUGAAAGCAUUGAGCAAAGCAUUUAGGGCGAAAGCCUCGAGGCCCCACGAAUUUUAAUUUUAAAUAUAUAUAAAUAUGAUAUAUAUCAUAAAAAAUCAUUUGAAGAUAUAAAUAAAUAUAAUUAAAUUAGAUUAUAUUAAGAAAAUUUACAUAGAUGAAGAAUUAUUGUUGUAUAACUCUAAUUAAAAAUUUAAGAAACAACAUAUUAAUAUUAGCUAUAGAAAAAACGCAGAAUGACUAACAUUACAAAAAGUUUAAUUUUUGAACAAACUAAUCAAUAGUCACAACUCAGCAGCCACCGCAUUAUCAAGCAUUUAAAUUACAAACACAUAACUUCAAGUAAACAUAAACUUCAAAGGUUAAUUGUAUCAAUAAAUACACUUAACUUGUAUCAAAAAUAAAAUACCAAGUUAGCAACCAUAUUGCUUAUAAUACAUAACAAGAAAUAGCACCAAUAAUUAGAAAAAAAUUGAUAAAUAAAAUGAUACUAUUCAUCAAAGUUAAUAUCAUCCAUGUCAUCAUCUUCAUAUAGUGUAUGUACACUAGGUAAUUUUCUUCCAAUUAUUGACAGAGGCUCCGGAAUUUCUAUCACAUCUUAUUUUCUUCAACAGGAUCCAAUCUACAUGUGACAAUAUCAUUUUCUUUACCUUUGCUUUUGCCUAACCAUAUAUAAUAUUUCAAAUAAAUUCAUAUCAAAUUCACUCAAUGUCUCAAUAUAAUAGAUAGUAAAUUAGUAAUAAAACUAAAUAUUAAAAUGUUAAAAUCUUACUUGAUGAAGUUGAACUUUCAACACGGUUUCUUUUUCUAUUCUGUGGCAUCAACCGAGAUAAAGCAUCGUUAGAAUUGUCAACUGGGAAUGUUUUCUCAUAAAUUUCAGUAAUUGGCACAAUUUUGACAGCAUCAAUUCUAAAUAAGUCAUCAUCAUCAAAUUAAUCAACUUCUUCUAGAAAGAUAGGAUCUUCUUUUUCAGUUAUCCAUUCAUCAUCAGAAUCAACUUCAUCAACAAAAAUUGGAUCAAAAUUUUGCUUUCUUCUUAUACUCCUCCCCUCAAGCAAGUAUUAUACAUGACAUACACCAAAGCAUUCUAUUUUUUGUGCUCAAGUCUAUUUCUUUUCUUAGUAUAAAUUAGAUGAUAAUCACAAUAGAUAAAAAAAAAGUGUAUGGAUUAAAGUGUAAACGGUACGAUCAUAUAAGACAUACAGACAAUGAGAAUGAAAAAUUAUAAUACCGAUUGGAAAGUACUCCAAUUUCUUUCACAGCUCGUGAAAUUACAAGUCAAACCAAGAACACGGAUGGCAAAUUUUGUCAAUUUUGGAGUUUUACCACCAAAACGAAUCCCCAAUCAAUUAUGAAAUAGGGAAAAAAUUAUUAGUAAACAACUAAAAAUAAUAGUUAAAUAUAAUUAAAGAGAUAUAUUGAAAAAUUAAUAUAGACCUGGAGCUCGUAAUUUUCUAGUGUCAACUGCAACUCGAGAACCAAAAUCUCCUCUAGAAAAAUCAUAUUGAUCGAGUUGAAUAUCAAAUUUAAGCCAAUCAUCAUAAUCAAGCAUUCGAUCCAUGUAUUCAUGCAAACCUUGUUUUAUAUGAUCGAGAUAUGAAAAAUCAUUAUCGAAAUGCAACUGAGCGUUCAAAUAAUAGCUUGCAGCAUGUAAUGAUUGAUGAAGUUGUGGAGUCCAUCUAGCCUCUAUUUUAUUUAAAACAUGUCCAUACUUUUGUUUGUUCAUGCCACAAUUUAAAGUGAUUUGUUCCUUGGAAGAUUUCAUCGAAUGAUAUAUAAAAUCAAGGCUAGUCUUUUUUCUAAAUAACUUCCCUUAAAACAAGCACCAAUGGAACAACACUUCGUAUGCAAUAAGCUACUUGAGGCCAAAAUUGUGAACCAAAUAAAACCGCGGCUUUGGCUUUCAUACCUUCAACAUGUUUUGCCUAAAAACAAGUAUUUCAACCCUCUAAAGCGAACAUAGAUUGAAGUGCUUGCUUUUGAACAUAAAUGCUUUGAAGGGUAAGGUAAGUAGUGGUAAAUCGUGUAACUGUAGGCCGUAAAAGCUUAUGAUCCUUUGUAAUAGAUCUCAUCAAACUCAAAAUCCAAGUAUGUCCAUAUAUGAAUUUGACAACUUGUUUGACUUUUGCAAGUGUAGUUUCACGAACUUUCAAUUUGCCUAUAUCUUCUAACAUGAGAUCAAUACAAUGUGUAGCACAAGAAGUCCAAUACAAGUGCUUUCUCUUUUCAUUAAUUUUUUCCAGCAUUAACAAAAUUUGAACCAUUAUCCAUAACAACUUGCACAAUAUUUUCCUCUCAAUUUCUUCUACUAUAUUAUCAAGAUAAGUAAAGAGAAGUUUCCAUUUUUUUAUAGAAUUAGAGGCAUCAACUGACUUGAAAAACCAUGUACCAGUUGGAGUAUUUACUAAUAAAUUUAUAAAACAUCUACUUUUUCCAUUGAUCCAACUAUCAGACAUUAUAGAACAACCAUAUUACUUCCAUGCCUUUUUAUGCUCUUCCAUCAUUUUAUUGAUACUUUGAAUUUCAUUUUUAAGUAUCCAAGUUCUCAAUUCAUGCAUAGUAGGAGGUACAAAAAUAGGCUUUAUAUUUUCCAAUUCCUCACACAUAGGUAAGAAAUAAGGAUUAUUUAUAGCAUUAAAAGCAAGGCCACUACAGAAAAAAAAAUCACCCUACUAAUUUGCAAACUUCCUUCUUUCUUCUGUUUUGAGCUAGAAUUCAAAGUAGUUUGCCUAGCUUGAGUUGUUGUAAAAUUAUCCACAGGACCCCUUAUCCUUGGUUGUGAUGGUGCACUACCAACACUUCCAUUAGCACUACAAUCACUAAUAACCAUUCCCUCUAGUUGUGAAUUAACCCUGUUGUCCGCUUCAACAGUCAAACGAAUCUCACUCAAGACAGCAUUUCGUGAUUUUUUACAAGUUUUAUCUCACUCAAAGCUUUCUUACAUUCCUCAUAUGCUUUUGGUGGGACAAAAGGACAAAGUUUCAUACCUUGAUGAGUUUUAGCCAAAUGGUGUUUAAGCCUAUUAAUGGUCCGGUACAUCUCUGCUUAUAGUAGAGACAUCUGAAAUGCUUUUCAUUAGUGUUUACUUUGGCAUGCUUCCAAGCAAAAUCUUUUCUACAAGCACCUUUAGAGUUAAUGUUUCAUCUAAAGCCAUCUUGCCAAAACAUAAUAGUUGUGCUUUUAUAACAACAAUGUAUCCAUUUAUGAUUUACAAUAGUCAAACUUACAAUCUAAUUAAUAUCAAUACAAGACUUAGAUUUACAAUUUGAUUAAUAUUAAUGUAUACACAUAAGAAAAAAGAGCAAACUUUGAAUCUGGUUCUACUUAAGCCUGUUUAGUGGUGUUUGGUGCACCUUUUAUUAAUUAAAUUUAGUUAAUGGUUUAUAUCAAUUCUCUUAUAUUGAGCAUUCAAAUUUAGCCAUCUCCAAUAUUUUCAUUCGCACUUCUUUGUUCACAUCCAACCUUGUCUAGAAAAUCAGGAAUAAAAAAAAAACUUUAAUUGAUAAGAUUUGAUUUAUCCAAAUAAAGCAUUACUGCUAGUACAUAAAGAGAAUCCUACUAGUACAUACUUGACACUACACACUAAAGAAACAUAACUUUAUAUGGAUGUAACAUACUACAUAGAUGUAUCAUUAUCUUGGCAGAUUCAUGCAAGUCAAGUUUAGGGGACUAUUAUGUUCCAGAUUAAGACAUUGAAAAGCGAACACCACUAUGGAAGUAACUACUGGAACAAACAUGUCAUUUCUAAUUACUUAUCUAAGAAAUUUCAAGAGAAUAUGAGGGAUGACCUUAAUUGCAACCAAACUUGAAUCUCUAAAUACAUAAAGCGCCAAAGGGUUGGGAAUAGUAAAUUUCGCUAGUUACUUUGUAAUUUGAGUGUUCAUUUUGUCCUCUUUUGUCAAAUUACCUGCCAUGGACCUCAUCGUGGGGUCAGCUGCCUUUGAUUUUCUCUGCUGCAAUCCUCAAUUUUGGUUCCUAUUUUCAAUCUUAUUUUUUUUCGCUGGUUUAAUGGUUGUUUCUUGACGCAUUUUGCCAUUUUUUGUCAUUUGCCAAUGAUAUCUUCUUAUUCUUCGCCAAGUUCUUUUGCAGCUUGUUGUGAUAGUGGAGGUGCAAUUAUAAGAGAUUUACUUUUUCUUACUGUAUAUUGUCCUAUCAAAUUUAUAUUUAAUGCUUGCAUGUGCUUAGUUCAGCCAAAACGCAUGCUCUUUCUAUUGUUAGCGAUUACCUAUCAAAUCUGCAUUUAAUGAUUGCAUGUCCUUAGCUCAAUCAUUAUUUUACUAUAUACUACCUUUAGUGACCUUCCCACCAUUAUAUUUUUGCUUUGACUGACCUUCUCACCGUUAUAUUUUUGCUUUGACUAUUCUUGGCAGUGGGGUUACAACUAUUAUAUUCGUUUUGAGUUAUUACUUUAUGUAGUUAGACGUUUCUCUUUUUCUUAAACCUUCAUUUUGUGCCAUCCUUUUGUUCUCUCUGUUUCACUUUGUCUGCUUUGCACUCAUUGGGUAAAACAUUUCCCUGCUUUCCUUUAAAUGCUGUUAUUCUAUUUUUUUAUUUUGUCUUUAAUCAUAUCAAGUUAUAAUUGUUUUUUAUAUCUUGGUGUUCAUGAUUCAUCUUCUUUUCUUACUACAUUCCUCGGUGUUGCUUAACUCCAGCUUUACAGUGAAUGCAACUGUAUUUAUUGCUCAUGUUCCUUAUAUUGAGCUUUUGCUCUUAAUGAAUCUACACUUAUCUACUUUUUGCUCUUAUGAUUGAAGUUAUGUUUUUCAACUUGAUACAAGUUUCAAACUAUUUGGAUAGAUAAAAUUUGUUGAAGAUCAUAACUUACAAGAUAGUCAAUACUACGUUUUUUGCAUAUAAGCUGCAUGGUAUUCAGAGUCGUAGUUUAUAGUCCGCACAACUAUUUGAUCAACUAUGAGUAGAAUAUAUUAUUAAAGGACAAAGAACUAUCUCCUAAAUGUGGUAUUACCUUUAACGCAUAUACUUUGCUUGCUAAUUACAAUCAACAACUAUUUAUCCAUCAUCAUUUAUCUAAACAAAGUUUGAUGAUCUUCAAAGUAUUACUCACAGAAACAGAGAAUCUGAUGACACACUUCUGAUUUUUUGUCAUCCUCACAUGUAACGACCUUAAAAAUCUGAUAAAUUUACUCUAUCAUAUAUAUGAAUUCAGCUACAUCAUCACACAUUAAUUCUUAUGUUAAUACAUAUUGUUAUUUCAGAUGCUUCUAGGAGGUAUACAUUGCUGCAUAGAAAAAGACGUCAAUAACACUAUAAACUGCUACAAUAGAUUAAAAGUAUGGACUUUUCUCAUUGAGAAAAACUACAUAACAACCAAUUGGUCAACUUUCGCUCAAAGACAUUCAUUGCAUGAAAGGAAUAUCCUUCUCUUCACAUUACUUCAAUGAAAUGACUAUGAUAUAUAGAUUUUCAGCCGAGACUUCAUUCCCUAACACUACUUUGUUUAUCAAGGAACUGACUAUAAUAUACAAGAAAAUAAUAACCUUCUAUUUAUCAUCCCUUCUACUUUGUUUUUAUAUUCCUCAUUAUUCAGCAACAUUAUAAUAACUAUUACUUUUAUCCCAAAAUGCAAUAUUUGAUUGCAUGAUAGGAAAUUUUAAUUAAUAUUAUUUUUUCAUCUAUUAGUUUCAUACACAAAUUUAAAUAAUUUUAACAUACUCUUUCUAAAAACUCUUAUAUAAUUAAUGUGAAUAUCACACAUGUAAUUCAAAAUCAAUUACUAAUAAACAACCAUAUCGCAAGUGAAAGGGGCUUACAUCCCUUAACCAUGAGGUCUCAGGUUCGAAACCCAUGGGAAUGGAAAAAACAACGUUGGGAGAGUUUCUCCCUACAAGAGGCCCAACGCGACUCGAACAGGAUUAUUCGCAAACCGUAAAACGGAUGCGGACACCUGUGGGUUAUAUAAAAAAACCAAAAAUACAUGAAAAAAUUAUAAUAUGGGCACCCGCGAUGGCCGUGGGGUCCAAUGCCAAGUUAUGAAUGAUAUUAGAAGGACAUUUAUACUUAACAUCAGCAAGAAACAAGCAAAUAAAACUAAUAGAAAUGCUAAAGAUAACCUUUAGGGUAAUGAUGCAUAGCAACAUGAUAACUCGUAGGAUUAUGUUACUAUAGUUAAACAAAACAAUCCAAAUAACCAUAUAACUUUACAAAUUGAUAGGACACUUGAUCAGAAACUCACUUUCUAAAGGAUUUACUAUGAUUUAGGUGCAACGGCUCAAGGGUUCUAUACAAGUUGUAGACCUAUCAUAGGUUUAGAUGGUUGCUUUUUAGAGAGUCCAUUUGGAAAUCAGCUGUUGACUAUAAUAGGGAGAGAUAGAAAUGAGAACAUGCUCCUAUUUCCAAUUACUAUGGCUGAUGCUGAAACCUAUGAUAGUUGGAGCUGUUUCUUAAAAGAGAUGAUAUAUCACAUUACAAAGAGAAAUGUAGGUUUUCUUAUAUAUUCAUUUUCAAUGGGUAAAAGGCUUAAUGCAUGCCAUUGAAGAGUUGUUUCUAGGGACAGAGCAUAGAUUUUGUCUCAAACAUUUAUUUGACAACUUUAAGUUAUGGUUUAAAGUACAGAUCUAAGGAAGAAGUUCUAAGCCAUUGUGUAGACACCAAAUUUUUGACUUUAUUUUUUUAUUAUUAGUUUUAUUGAUAUUUAUUUUAGUUUGGUUUUACUAAUCUCAUUUUUAGACAUUUUAGGAAAAAAGAAAAUGAAAAAGCAUUCAAAAAAUAUGAUUUAGUCGUUUGUAAUUUAAAUUCAAUGCUUUCUUGAAAGUGAAAAAAAAAAAGAAAAAGUGAAAAAUGAUGAAAAAUGAAAAAUGAAAGAAAAGAUUGAAAAUGGCAAUUUUGUUGUUUUAGUUUGUUUAUUUUGAUGUAAAAUUGUUGUUUUUUAUUAUUUAGUUUUUAUUAUCAUUUUUGUUAAAUUAAUCUCAAAAAAAAAAAAAGUGAAUACGCGACAUUGUUUGUGACAGCCCCACUUUCCCCUAAGGCGAACCAAAGGGAUUAGCGGACUGCCUGCUCAGUUCUCGCCAGGACUAACGAUGCAAACCAGAACUAUCUAUAGCGAUCCGGAACUUACAAACGAGCGUAAACAGGUCAAAAUGGUAAAAUAACCCAAAAUAAAAAAAAUAAAAUCCGGAGUCGGCCAUGAAUAGUAACCGACCCGUCAGAACCCAACCGAAAUAGCUAACAAACAUUCACAUCUGAACUUUAGCGUUUACAAAUCAAAAUGACAUACAAAAGUUUUCAAAAGUUAAUAUAUACACAUGGUUUGCCAAAUCAAAAGAGAAAACGCCCCCAAAAGUACACUUAGGGUUUUAAAACAGUGAGCUAUACAAAAGAUAUGUCCAACUAGCUCAGUUCGGCAACCGAUUAUCAAAUCCAGGCCAAAAGUGUUUAUUUUCCUGUAAGGAAAACAAAAGGAACAGAAAAGGGUGAGCUUGCGCUCAAUGAGGUACCAAACAGAUAGCAUUAAAAUCAUGGCAUUUCACGUUUAGCAAAUCAAGUACACAUGCCAGAUAUAAAGCAAAGGAACCAAUGAUUCAAAUCAAAAGGAUACGGGUGGCUCUCAGGAGCCAAGUUUCCAGCGCAGUACUUGAUCUAAACCGGUUGACUCUCCGUCAACGUAUAAAGAACCAACGCGUCCGUAGAUCCCCCUUUACACCGAAUUCCGUCCACCAAACACCCCUUUACCGGGCCCGCUCACCGUAACCGAACAGAAAUGGUAAUACUCGAGUAUAUCCGGAAUCAAGGGUCUCAAUACCCAAAAUCCCCGAACAGACUACCGUGGUUCGUUAUCUAAUCGUCCAGGCCCUUGCCGGCCCGACUCGAAUAACUUAGCCACAGGAUUGAGCUCAUAGGUCAUAGAAAUCCGAACAGAUGCAGACAUAGAUAACAGAUUCAAAUUUUGCAUAGUAAAUUGGCAUAUGAUCAGACUAGAGAACGAGUGUGAUAAAGUACACCCUCGUCUCGAACAAAUAAACAGAUUGCAGAGCAGAAUCAAGUUAAACAACAAUGAAGGGGAGUGGUACACUCACCGGCUCAACUUCAAAAGUUUUCACUUCAGAUUGGCCUUAAUCGCCAAGAAACCCUAAAAUAAUCAAAAUAAACCAAUUGAAGGUUUUACUUCCAGAAUCGAGUAAACAGAAUGCACAUGUGAGGCUCGACUACAAGUCGUAUACCUCGCCAAAUAAUUACUAAUGCAAGGGUGCAAAACAUGAUUUUCUUGGAAACGAAAAGGUAGCAUGAAGACCUAGGCGCAAACAACCCAAAAGCCUUUCAUUCUACCAAAAGGCAAACCUAACUUAAAGAAACCAAACGGCCUAGAAAAUCGGGCAGCACUUCCCCUAAAUCUCUUACUUUUCCAGCCAUUAAGGCUUCAUUCUAUCCUCAAAUCAGUCCCAACAUCUCACACAAAAUUCAUCUCAUUUCCCAAAAGCCGUUCACUAGGCUCAAAGUGGUACAAGUACAAAAGUUAACUAGGAAACAACCGAAAUGAAAGCAAGCCCUAAAGAGACUCGAUAACGAGUCAUAAACCAAUGCAACCACAACCCCAAUAAGGUUUCAUAUGCAUAUAUAAGCAUCAUAGUAACCAGAAAUUAAGAAAUGGCUUUAACUUAGGCCUUAACAAAAAAAUGUAUUUGACCUCAUAAUGCGGUAAUGACACCACUUUCACUACGGUUAUCGGAUGGGGGUGCAAGACCCACCGUUUCGAAGCUAUGAAACAGGGCUACAACAAUGUAGAAGGUAACUCAAUCCAGUUCCUGGCCCAACUAGGUCAAAAAUUCCAAACACUAAACCAGAAUCACCAAAACAGGUUUGCAAAACACAGAAAACUGUAAUCGGUAUAUCUCAGUCCAUACAAGUCCAAAUGCCGAAAUUCCAAAGGCAUAAGUUAGCUAAGACAUCCAGCUACAUUUCAUCAGAAGACACCAACUUCAAAAUCCAAACCAAUUCCAGUCAAAAGGGCCAAUUACUAUCGCAGUUUUCGCAUUCUGAUCAAAACAGAACAGCUACAGUAAAAACGGCAUAACUCACUCUACACUCAUCCAAAUGACCUGAAAUUUUACAGGCACCUCAAACACAUCAAUACCUACAACUUUUAUGUUUUGAGCAAAUUCCAAUUCGGCCUCUAUAUAUGACCUAAAAUUUCGGACAGAAUGUUCAACCAAGAACCCUAAUUUUCCAGAAAUUCUUCCAAAUUCAAAAUUGAUUGCAAUUUCCUAUCAUAUGCACCUACUAGAGCCAAAGCCCCUUAUUACCAACCAUCAAAAACAACCACACCAUCAAGAUCAUAUGAAACCAGAAAAUUCCUCAAAAAAUAAAAAACUCAACCAAAUCACUUCAAACAAGAAAUAAUCCACAAUCUAGCACAAUAGCCACCAUUAGGCAUAAAAUAAGCAUCAUUAGAUAUAGGAGGGUGUUCAUAUACCACUUACCAAGUAAACAAGAGAGAGGAAGAUGUUGGACACCUUAAGUCUUCAAACAAACUCACCAAAUCACUUACUAGCACCAACUAGAGGGAAUUUAUGGAGUAGAAACUAGUUUAAGUAAUUUUCUUGGAAGAUUUGAGCUAGUUUGAAGCUUGAAACUUGGAGAAGUUUUCUUCCUUUUCCUUGCAAGAGGUUCGGCCAUGAGAGAGAGAAGAAAUGGUGAUUUUUGUGAAAUUUUAAGAUAUUUAAUCACUUGGUAAAAAAAGUCAAAAAGUGAAUAGUGUCCAACCAAUCAAAUGGUGACACUUGUCACUUCAUAAAUGAAUCUCUAUCUCUUUGUUUCCCCCUCAUACCAAUCCAAAUAACAUCCUCUACUUAUCUCUUAACACCCGAUAAAUUAACUCCAGUAUCCAAAGUAAAUUUUGAGUUGCAAGCAAAGGGACAAAACUGGACUAGGUCCAGAAACUUUCUGUCCAGCGAUGUUGUAAAGGCUAUAACGUUUUAUUCACUGAUCUGCAUUGAGUGCCGUUUGUGGCAUUGGAAAAUAGGCUCUUAGAGCUUUAAAAUGGUACCUGGCUCAUGUUCUUGUUCGUCCCGACUAAUCCGUGGCAAGUCGUGGAAGUCGGCUGCCCGUGCGGUACUGUUCAUCCGAGGCAGUCCAGAAAUUUCUUUGGCUUCUUAAUUUUGAGCCACUUAAGCUGGGAUUUUGGAAAUGGUUUCUUCACGACAAAUUUAACCUUAAGAACCUAGUUUCCAACGCAAUUGAAGGAACCUAAUUCUGACUCUCCUACCAUGAACAGUGACCAUUUUCCCGAGGCUGGUCGGGCGAGACAGUUUAACCGUAAUGAAACUUUUGAGCUUCGGUGAAACCCUUCUUUUGCCGAACUUUCAUGUACAUACCAAACUUGUUUUCUUAUCAAACUUUCCCAUGGUUUGGACCUCAUUUGCAUGAUAGAUUAAGUAGCUUAGGCUACUCACUUGGUCUCUCAAUGAACCUAUACUUGAGUAAGGAACGAAUCCAAUUGUUAAUGGUUUCGCUCGUUGACCUAGGUUUGGGCAACAAAGGUGAUCGUAACUGAGACGUUUGAUGUCAAUUGCUACUUUUGCUUGACAGGUGAGUGUUUCACUACUUGCUACUUGUUAUGUGGAAUACUUGCAUACUUGAAAUCGUUGAUUUGCUAUUGUUUGAGCCAAACACUGUUUUAGUUAAAAUCGAGGCGAGUGUGUACUUUAUCACACUUGACCUUCCUUGUUUUCCACUGAGGCUCUACUUACUGAAUGAAGUAAUAUGAAAUGAGAUAUUGCUAUACAUGACCGUGCUUAAGUUGCGUGGAUGACAUUCCGCCAACUACUGUUACUGUUUGGGUACCCAACCUCAUAGGUGAGUCGGUUGUAUCGAGCCAGCAAGGGCUUGGUCGAGAAGGCCGAUAAACCUUAAGGACUGUUUACUGUUCACUGGAAAUUGAAUCUUGCCUGGAGGUCCCUGGUGAAGCAUAGCCGUUGUGCUUGCUUGUUGUGUUGUCCAGCACCCCAAUGAUAAAAUCCUCGGCUUGAUACUGUUUUAUUGGAAUCCUUGAGCAUUGGAAACUCGGAUUCCUGGUAUACUCGAGUAUUACCAAACUACUGUUUAUGGAGUGCGGGCCCGGUGGGGGUUGUUUGGGGGACGGAGACUGGUGAAAGUGGUGUUCUACGGACCUAUAUACUGUUACAAGUGUUGACGGAGUGUCAACAGGAGGCAAUUAUGAUCAAGCUCAAGUGGACCUUUGGCUUUUGAAAGCCACCCGUAUCCUUGAAUUGAAUUGUGAUUAAACUGUUAUUUUACUGUACGGUGUUUAGUUGGCUAUUUUGUGAUUUUACGUGGCUAUGUGUUUACUUGUUUACCUGGAACCUCACUGGGCUUUAGCUCACCCCAUUCCCUUUGUUUUCCUUAACAGAUCGGGAAGGGAUUUGAUCGAGGGCUUUCUUAGCUUUAUUUUGCCGUUCUUCCGUUUUGAGGUUGUAACUUUCGUUUAAGCAGACUUGUAAGCUUAAAUUCUUAAGGGUGAUUUAUAUUAUGUAAUUUUGAGUGAAGCGUGGUAAGUUGGCAUAUGAUGAUAUAUGUACUAAGUUGAAUUGUUGGAUUAGUGAUCAUGUUUGAGUUAGUGUUUCAAUCCCCUGCAUUGUCAAUGUUACAUUCGUUUCAUUGAUGAUAUUAGUACUUUGAACGACUGAGUCCUGGCGAGAGCUAGACAGGCAGUCCGCUGAUACCCUAGGGUUUGCCCAAGGGAGAGGUGGGGCUGUCACAUUAAGAGUGAAUAAUACUUAUAUGAACAUAAGUACAUUAGAGGUUUAGUGCAGUAGUGAACCAAACGCGAGAGAAAUCGAGCCCUAAACGCACCAAACGAGCCCUAAGGAGGGUUGACUUUGGAGUGAAUUUACACCACUCAUUUUAAUCUUCUCUUGGAAGCUAACCUUGAUCAAAUUUCACUCUUUCUUCUCUCACCAACAGCCGGCCAGCCUUCCCUCUCUCUCACUCCCUUGCUUCACAAAUUUCUUCAUCAAAUUAACCACAAAACUUCAAUCAAUCUUCACCAAACUUUAAGACCAUCUAGCAAACUACUUGGAGGUUGGAUCUAGCUAACUAAAGGGCUGCAUUUCACGGUUUCUUGGAGCCUCUUGAGGACCAAAAAUUUCUGGUUUAAAGCACCAAGGAGGUAUAACCCCAUCCUACGCCUUAAACUUGGAUUAUGAUGGUAGAAAUACAUCUUUAAGCUAUUGCAUGUGUAUGGAUGGCUUGAUAUUGUUGGAAAAUUUGAAAAGUGGGCUCUAUGAAUUCCCACACUUGGGUUGUUGUUGAUUAGAGGAUUAAUGUUAGAUUUAAUGGGAGUUUAGUGGUUAAAAUGAUGGAUUUAUGGAGUAUUAUUGUUGGAAACUCAAAGUUAAGGUCAUGACAAGAAAUUUCCGAAACUGCCCCUGUUUUGUUCGGCCAUGAUAAGGCCAAUUUUUGGUGAUUUAUUGGCGUGAACCUGAUGUUUAUAUGUUAUGUUAUAUGUGUAAAAAUUUUCAUUGGAAAACAUUAACGUUUAGAUGGGCAAAUGAAUUUAUUCGUGAACUAGGCAAGCUGGAAAAUUAUUUUCGGAUAACCCUGUCCAGCGGUAGCAUUUUGACCAUAACUUUGUCCUCCGAUGUCAAACUUGAGUGCCGUCAGUGGCAUUCAAAACUAGACAUCCAUACCUUUCCAACGGUAUAAAAUUCGUAUUCUGAUUCCAUGUGUAGGAGCCGACCCAUUCUUUUUAAGAUAGCUGUCCUGUCUCUCGGAUCUGCUGGAAUGGUUUGUAGAGGCAGCAACUUGAGACUCAAUUUCGAGCUGGUUGCUUGCCAAAUUUCAGAACAUUUCCUUCUGUGAACUUUUAGUCCUAUGAAUUUAUUUUCCAACGCCAUAAACCAUGCUCAAUUGCGAGUUAAAUUGACUGAGUUGUGACCAAAACAAGAGGACCGCCCUGUUUUGGAAAAACGUAAUAUUUGGACUGAUUUGGGAUAAAACCGGGGAGUGGUCUUAUUAAUUGAAAUUUUGAUGCUAAACCAUUACCAAAGGUAUCAUGGAUGUAUCUUAGACCUUUAUUUCACAAAUGAACCAUGGUUGGAUGGCUUUCUUGGUUAAACGAUUUGAAUUGGGAAAUGAAAGUCAAAAGGCAGAUUGCCUUAGAAAUUUUUCCGUAACUUUGGAUGAUUAGUUAACUACCUUCCCGAGGGUAUUUUUCCCUGAAAUUUGAUAGAGAGAUACCUUUCAUAUAGGAGUAAAAUACUGCCAAUUUUGGUACCAAUCCAAGUUCGUUUCGAUACCUAAUUAAAUUUCUAGUGUUGGAGGUUCAAAUCUGGGAAUUCUUCUCCAGUCUUGAAUUUCCCCAACUUUGAGCUACCGUAUCUCGGUACUCGAAACUCCGAUUCUUGAUCCGCUUGCUUUGAUAUAAACCUCACUUUCAAUUCUAAUUGAGUUACUAAUUUCAGAGGCCGGUUUACAACGUAUAAAUCGUGCCGAAUUCUCAAAGUUGGCCGAAAUCCAACUUAAUUCUGCCUUGUAAACCGAGUCUGCACCUUCAAGCUCAUUUUUUAGCACUUUUCACUUCGAUUCAUGGAAAAGUGUCUUCUAGGAACUUAUAGUACUUUCUAAGAGGUUUCCAACGGUAUAAAUUUUUCCAAUUCUCGACUUGUGCCGAGUGAGUUACGAUUUUUCAAAGAUUCAUAAUAAAACUGAAAAUUUUCCAAUUUCAAGGAAAUAGAGUUUUUCAAGAACUCUUUAUUCUUUUGAUAUUAUCUAAACGUUUUAUCCCCGAUUUCCUAGAUAAAGACCUAAAUACUUUUGAUUAUUAUCAAACCCCACUCGAACCUCGAUUAACGAGUAAUUGAGGUUCAUUUUCACGGAAUUCCCUCGAUUAAUGCUAGUGAACGAAUUAUUCCUCGAUAUUUGGGAUGUGAAUGAUAAAUUCACUAUUAUUUGCUCUGGCACACACGAGAAUCUUCAAGAGGAUUCCCCGGUGGACGCUUGAACUUCCCUUGACCUUACUCACACCUAAUAUUUGGUGAGUGUCAGGUGUAUGUAAACUUGUUACAUGUUUAAUUGUUAUUAAUGAUUGAAAAUCUUGAAAGUGGAGCCGAGUGUGUACUUUACUACACUCGUACUUAUUAGAAAUGAAAUUUUAAUGAUUGAAAUGCAUUGAAUGAAUGAAAUGUAUUGGUAUGCUAGCUGCAUACGUCGUUGGAGUGAAUCUCCUCGACACACAAGUGCACAUGGGGGACGCCCAAAUCUCAUUGGCCGACCUUGGACUCGAGCCGGCAUGGGCUUGGUCGGAAACCUUGGCGAACCAUGAGAUAUAUAAGCUUGACCUAAUGAGAGGUCUUGCUUGGCAUACUCGAAUAGUAUCGCCACAAACUAAUGACAGGCGGGCCCGAUACAGGGGUAUGUAAGGUGAAAGGGGACAGGUUAAGUGGAGUUCUACGGACUAAACCUGCCCGAUUGACACAGUGUCAAUUCGUGGAGGUUAUUGCUCGUGCAAGUGGAACUCAGCUCCUGAGAGCUACUAUAUCCUUGAAUUGUUUCUGUUUACUUUUCCCGCUCGAAUUGUUAUUUAUUGCAGUAUUAUGGCUUGACUUGUAAAUUGAAAUUGUUAUUUGAGCAAUAUGCUUGCAUGUGUGUUCUUGGCCUCACGAGCGUUUUGCUCACCCUGUAGAUUUGUUUUCCUUAACAGGACUGGAUCCGGGGACGUAUUGGAGAACCCCUCUUGAUGUACUUUUGUUUAAGGUUUCUAUCAUCAUUUUGUCUAUGCCUCUUGGUUUUGGGUUGUACUUCUGUAUUUAGAAUGUAGUACUUGGGCAUGAGAUGAAUUUGGGUUUAAAGUUGUAUUUUGAACACCCGAUGUACGGGUUGGAUAAUAGAUGACCAUGGUUAACUUGAACGCUGCCGCAUCACUGUGUUUAUGUUUUGUACUUGUGACUAUUAGAUUAGUUAUAAGCUUGAAUGUUUUGCGUGAGUCCUGGCGAGAGUUGGGCAGGCGUCCCGCAGAUACCCUUUGGUUCACCUUAGAAAGAAGUGGGGGCGUCACAGUUGGUAUCAGAGUGCUAGGUUAGCGCUAGGUUAGAGAUCUAUAUGUGAGACAUAUUGGAUACUCUACCCUUAGAACGUGAGACCGGAUAGUUAAGUUAUACUUUAAAGGGUAUUUGGGACAUACUAAUGAUCGGGUUAGGCAUGCAUAAACGACGUUCGAACUAGAUAGUGAUUUAAAUUUCUAACCCGAAAAGUGCUAUUAUUUUGCAGGGAUGGAAAACGGAAAUGGAGUUCUGGCAGCUAACGGGGAUGGCCAUGCGAAUGGUCAUGUAGUGCCUCCUAGGCCUAUCUAUUACCGAGCUUUAGCUGGGGAAGCUCGUGUACGCUACUCGUCUGAUCCUCGAUACCCCCGAUAUGCUUGUAGGGUGACUUUUGCUUACCCAAAUCAUGUUGUACUGGCCUUGGACGACGAGCGUCGUCAGUUGGUGACUGCCAACUUGGACUUACAGGCUGAGGUGGACGAGCUACGACAGAUGGUGAGUGCUCAGGGCGAGAGGGUCGCCGAGCUUGAGGAGGUGAUUGAGGGCGAGGUUGCCACAUCUGCUGUGGUUAAUGAGGAGCUCCGGAGCACUAGAGCUCAGCUUACUAGACUGAGAGAGGAGGUCCGUAGUCGGGCUUCCGAUAUUGUAGCUGAUGCCACUAGACUAGUCGAUGAGGCUAUGGGGGUAGCCCAGGACUCUGAGGAGGAUCUUGAGGAGGAGGUUCCUCCUGAUAGUCCUACUGUGGACUAAGUCUAGGCAGUUUGACCACUCUUUUGACUCUUUUGACUGGUACAAUUAGGAUUAGUUAGGGUGACGCGAGUGCUGAGGCCAUUGUAUUUUGCAUGCUUGUGUGGCCUACUUUUGGGCACUUGUUCUUACUUUAGUUUUCUGUGACUAAAAGUAUACUUUUGAGCACCUGUGUGCUAUAUUUUUGUGAAUUGUCCCUAACUUGCUAAUUGUAUGAACUUGACAUGCUUAUGAAUGUAAAUUAUUGUUAAUUUCAAUAUUUUCUUGAUCGGCUCCUGCUCUUUACUUUGCACCGCAUAAUUUAUUUAUUUAUUUCUUGCAUUAGGCACGUCUAAGUUAUGGAAGGGCUAAGAAGGGGUCAAGGCCGUGGUCGAGGCCGUGGGCGGGGGACUAGACCGGCCCAAUCUCAGGGGAAUGACCAGGGAUCGGCAACUGGACCGACUCAGGACCAGGAAAAUAUAGAGGGUAAUCAAGUGGCUACUGCCAUUAACAGGAUGACGGAUAUCCUAAAGCGUUUAGCUGAUAGACAAAGACCUGGACCAUUUAACCAGCCUGGUGGUCAGGAAAGAGGAGAGUAUAGAGCCCUAGAGAGAUUCUUAAAAUUUAACCUGCCUAAGUUCCUUGGCGAACCUGAUCCUGAGGUCGCGGAGAAUUGGUUAGAAAGAAUGACCAACAUAUUCGCUGAUUUAAAUUACACUGAGGAUAGGCGAGUGAACUUUGCUGCUUUCCAAUUUGAGGGAGUAGCCCGUGCUUGGUGGGAUCUGAUAAAAGGAAAAUGGGAAAGGGCUCAAACCCCUUGGACUUGGAAGAAUUUCACAAGGGAGUUUAAUGAAAAGUUUCUUCCGCCCUUAAUCCAAGAGAAGAGGGAGGAUGAAUUUAUUAAGUUGAAACAAGGAACCCUUACUGUAGCAGAGUAUGAAGGGAAGUUCACUAAACUUUCCAAAUACGCUCCCGAGUUAGUAGCCAAUGAACGGAGGAGAAUUAGGAGAUUUGUACAGGGACUUAAUGUGGAACUUCAGGAGGGCCUGGCUGCAGCCCAAAUCUCUACCUUUACUGAGGCUUUAGAGAAAGCGCAAAGGGUUGAGAAUGCAAGAUCUCAGGUGAGGGAUUUCCACAACAGAAAAAGGAAUUUUUCUAGCCGCACUUCUGAGCAGACCAGUAAGAAUGUACACCCUUCUCAAAUGGGAAGAGGGGAAGGAGGAACGAGAACUGCUGGAGCUUCUAGGGGAGCUCUAUCUAGAGGAGAUCGUAGCGGGACGACUCAAGUUAGGGGGCACCUUCUGUUGGAUCGACUGUGACCCCUCAAGUUACAUGUGGGUAUUGUGGUAAACCCAACCAUUCUGAGAACGAUUGCUGGAGAAAGUUGGGGAAAUGUUUAUUUUGUGGUAGUACUGAACAUCAAGUCGCCAAUUGUCCAAAAUCACCAAAGACAGUGGGAAAUGCUCAAAGGCCAGAAAAGUCAACUUCUAAGCAGACCAGUGCCGGAGGGAGCCGACCGAAAGUACCGGCCAGGGUUUAUGCACUGGAUUAUCAACAAGUUUCUGAGGCAACUGAGGUGGUAAAAGGUACAAUCCCAAUCUUUCAUCGUUUAGUUAGGAUUUUAAUUCAUCCGGGUGCAACUCAUUCCUUUGUAAACCCUAACUUCAUGAAUGGAAUAGACUUGAAGCCAAUUAAGUUACCAUAUGACUUGGAAGUUAAAACACCUACUGAAGACAAAAGCUUAAUUGCUAAUCUGGAGUACAGGAAUAGUGAAAUCUAUGUAGGGGAACGAAAAUUAUGGGUCGAUUUGAUCGGUUUGACCAUUAAGGGAUACGACGUAAUCUUGGGAAUGGAUUGGUUAGCCCGUUAUAAUGCUCAGUUAAACUGUAGGACAAAAUUAUAGAGUUGCAUAUUUCGUCUUAUUAAUUUCGUAAGGGGUAGAUUAAUUUCGUCUGCACUUAUUUCAGGAAUUCGGGUUAGAAAAUUAUUAAGUAAAGGAGUUUAAGGGUAUUUGGCUUUUCUUAUUAACAAUCCUAAUGAUAAGGUGAAUUUGGAAGACACACCAGUAGUAAAGGAUUUUCCAGAUGUUUUUCCUGAAGAAUUGGAGUCUCUACCCCCGGAAUGGGAAAUAGCUUUUAAAAUUGAUGUAGCUCCGGGAACAGCACCUAUCUCAAGGACUCCAUAUAGGAUGGCUCCAGUUGAAUUGAAGGAAUUGAAGUUACAAUUACAGGAUUUGUUGGAAUGAGGUUUUAUACGAGAGAGUGAUUCCCCGUGGGGAGCCCCAGUUUUGUUUGUAAAGAAGAAAGAUGGGAGUUUGAGGUUAUGCAUAGAUUAUCGAGGCUUAAAUGAUAUUACGAUUAAGAAUAAAUACCCGCUACCCCACAUUGAUGAACUGUUUGACCAAUUGUAAGGGGCGGUAGUGUUUUCAAAGUUGGAUCUAAGGCAGGGUUACUAUCAAUUGAGGAUUUUGGAGAAGGACAUACCUAAAACUGCUUUUAACUCGAGAUAUGGGUAUUUUGAGUUUGCCGUGAUGCCAUUUGGGUUAACAAAUGCUCCUGCUGUUUUUAUGGAUUUAAUGCAUAGGAUUUUUAAACCUUAUUUGGACCAAUUUGCAGUGGUGUUCAUUGAUGAUAUUUUGGUAUAUUCUAAGAAUGUGGAGGAUCAUGAAAAGUAUUUGAGAAUUGUUUUACAAAUCUUGCGGGAACAUCAAUUAUACGUUAAAUUUAGUAAGUGUGAGUUCUGGUUACAAGAAGUGACUUUCUUGGGACACAUAAUUUCUGAGAAUGGGAUUAAAGUGGAUCCAGCUAAAGUUGAAGCUGUUUCGAAAUGGAAACGACCGGAAAAUCCUACCGAGGUUCGGAGUUUUGUUGGAUUAGCAGGGUAUUACCGGAGAUUCAUUCAAGAUUUUUCGAAAAUUGCUGGACCCAUGACUGAAUUGACCAAGAAAAAUAGGAAGUUUAUAUGGAAUUCUAAGUGUGAGGAAAGUUUUCAGGAAUUGAAAGGACGGCCGACAAGGGCACCUGUGUUAACUUUGCCAAAUGGAAAGGAUAGUUUUGUGGUAUACACAGACGCUUCUAAGGAAGGAUUGGGGUGUGUUCUAAUGCAAAAUGACAGGGUGAUAGCAUAUGCCUCUAGGAAAUUGAAACCGCGUGAAGGAAAUUAUCCGACUCAUGAUUUGGAGUUAGCAGCUGUGGUUUUUACUUUAAAGAAAUGGAGGCAUUACCUGUAUGGAGUGACAUUUGAGGUUUUUACAGACCACAAAAGUCUUAAGUUCUUAUUUUCUCAAAAGGAACUGAAUUUGAGGCAGCGUAGAUGGAUGGAAUUUUUGGAAGACUAUGACUGUACGAUUAAAUACCAUCCAGGGAAAGCUAAUGUAGUGGCUGAUGUUUUGAGUCGUCAAGUACAGAUGGCUGGAUUGAUGAUUAAGGAAUUUGAAUUGUUGAAAGAAGUUAGUUUGUGGAAUCCUCGAUUGGAACCGAGGAAAGUAAUUAUGGGGAACAUUGUAUUGAAUUCUCCUUUGAUGGAACGUAUCAAGGAAUCUCAAGGAAAGGACACUGAAGUACAGAAAUGGUCGGAAAAGGUUAAAAAGGGGGACAAAUCAGAUUUUAAUUUGGGACCGAACGGUGUAUUGAGAUUUUGGAAUCGGGUAGUUGUGCCAAAAGAUGAAAGGCUUAGAAAAGAAAUUUUAGAAGAGGCAUACCGAUCAAAGUUUACAGUACAUCCAGGAGGGAAUAAAAUGUACCAGGACUUGAAGAGUCUUUAUUGGUGGGAAAAUAUGAAGAAGGAGGUCGCCCAAUUUGUCCAAACGUGGUUAAUUUAUCAACAGGUUAAAGCCGAACAUCAGAAACCAUCAGAACUUUUGCAACCUCUAGAAAUACCUGAGUGGAAAUGGGAGAAUAUCACUAUAGAUUUUGUAUCAGGGUUGUGAGAACCCGUAAUUUUCAUUUUCUAAGUUUUAUUAUUUUUUCAUGACUUGUUUUCUAGAUAAAUUUAAGGAGCAGAUAUAAUUUUUAGAUGAUUUUUCUAGUAUCGAAUAGAUUUUGAGAAAUUAAGAGCAGAUACCGGACGUGGGACCCACUAGUGCGAAAAGUCCGGAAAAAUUCUGCCAACUAGAUUAAGUUUUGGAUACUGGAAUUAUUUUAUCGGGUGUUAAGAGAUAAUUAGAGGAAGCUAUUUGGAUUGAUGUGAGAGGGAACAAAGUGAUAGACUUGCAUUAAAUUGGGUGACAAGUGUCACCAUUUGAUUGGGUUACCUUUAAGACUACUAUUCCAAGUCUUACCAUUGACCAAAUAAAUCACAAAAUUAACCAAAAAUUGCACCAUUUUCUCCUCUCAAGUGCCGGCCCUCUCUCUCAAAGGAAGAAAGAAAACCUCUUCAAGUUUUGGCUUCAAUCUUGCUUCAAUUAUCAAAACCAACCAUCCAACCUUGAUUUUUCUCUAUAAAACACCUUCAAGUAGUGGUGGUGAGUUGUUGGUGAAGUUAUUUGGAAAGUUAAGGUGGUCCAUAGCUCUCUCUCUCUUGUUUUAAAGGUAAGUUGUGAAGAACCACCCUCCUUCUUUAAUUGAUGCUCAAAUCAUGCUUAGUGGAAGUAGAAGAUGCAAGUUUAUGGAUUAAUUCUUGAUUUGUGGUUGAGAUGAUGACUUUUUAUUAUUUUUGGGGAAUUUUCUGUUUUAAUAUCAACAUGAAGGUGUGGUUAUCUAUGAUGUUUGGAUAUGGUCUUUUAUGACUUAAGGAGGUGGGAAAAGUGAUUAAUUGCAACCAAUUUCUGUUUUGGAAGAAAAUUGGAAAAUCUAGGGUUCUUAAGGGUACAUUCUGUCCGAAUUUUUAGGUACUAGAUAGAGGCUGAAUUGGCUUUAGCUCAAAACAUUAAAGUUGUAGGGAAUGACAUUUUAAAGGUGCCUACAAAAUUUCAGGUCAAUUGGAGUUGUGUGGAGUGAGAUAUGUCAAUUUUACUAUUGCUGAUCUGGGUUGCUCAGAAUGUGAAAACUGCGCUUGUAAUCGUUUGUUUUGACUGGAAUUGGUUUGGAUUUUGAAGUUGGUGUCUUCUGAUGAAAUGUAGCUGGAUGUCUUAGCUAACAUAUGCCUUUGGAAUUUCGGCAUUUGGACCUGUAUAGACUGAGUUAUAGUAAUUACAGCAUUAUGUGAUUUGUAAACCUGUUUUUAGUGUUUCCGGUUGAGUAUUUGGCACAUUUGACCUAGUUGUUCUAGGAUUUAGACUGAGUGACGUUCUACAUUAUUGUAGCCCUAUCUUUUAGCUUCGAGAUGGUGUGUCUUGCACCCUCAUCCGAUACUCGUAGUGGAAUUUGUACUAUUACCGCAAAAUGACGUCAAAACUGUAUUUUUCCGGGUCAAUGCUAGUUACAUUUCCGAAAUUUCUGGUUUCCUCUAUUGUUUGUAAAUAUUUAUGGAACCUUAUUGGGGUCAUGUUUGGCCUUGGUUUAUGACUCGUUAUCGAGUCUCAUUGUAUUUGUUUGCAUGUUUUUAGGGCGUGACAGUGGUGCACAACGUUCUUUUGACUAAAGUGUUUGAAACCACAUUGUGCUAGCUUGGUGAGUGUACUACUCACUUAUGUGCUAUUACAUGGCUUUGAUCUUUGUACUUGAGAUGUUGAAUGUUGAUUGAUCCAAGUGAGAGUGUACUUUAUCAAUUUCACUUAUUGUUUCGCAUGUUAUUGGAAAGUUAUAUGAAAUGUUAUAUGAAAUAAAAUACAUGACUUCAAAUAUUAUCCAUGAGCUCAACCCCAUUGGUUAUUGAUUGAAUCGAGCCGGCGAGGGAUUGGUCGUGCCAAUUAAUGUGCCUUGGGGCAACAUCAUAGGGAAUCUUGUAGUAUGAGAGACUCUUGAUUCCGGUUUACUCGAGUAAUACCACAAUGCAAGUGUUUGGAUUUCGGGCCCGGUUGAGGAAUGUUAGGAGGAAGGGAAUGGAAGUUAAGAGGAGUCUACGGUUGGUUACCUUUCAGACAUUGACGGAGAGUCAAUGAGACCUGAUCAAGAAUUCAAACGAGGAAAAGGGCUCUUGAGAGCCACCCGUAUCCUUUUAUCCUCAUUAUUAAUGUGUGGCUUUAUUUAUUUUGGUAAAUUGGACUGUUAAGCUUGAUGUAUCCAUGAACUUGGUUGCUUGAGUUGUAUUCUCACUGGGCAAUUAGCUCACCCCGUUCCUUUUGUUUUCCUUACAGGAAUAUGACUCUUUUGGAAUGAAUUUUGAUAAAUGGUUGCCGAAUGAACUAGAUGAAUGACUCUUUUGUAUUGUAUAUAAAAUGGGACCCUAAAUGUAUCAUUAGGACCGUUUUCACUUUUGUUUUGGCAAACCAUAUAUGUAGUGACUUUUGUAUCACUUUUAAAUGUCAUUUUGGUUUGUAAAGGCUAAAUGUUAUGUGGUAUAUGUAAUUCGACGUUUGGUUGGGUUCGGACGAGUCGGUUACUAUUCAUGGCCGACUCUGGAUUUUGUUUCUUUUAUUUUGGGUUAUUUUGCCCUUUUGCCUUAUUUGCGCGCGUUAUAAGUUCCAGAACGUGAUAGAUCGCUCUAUACUGCACCGUUAGUCCUGGCGAGAGUUGGGCAGGCAGUCCGCUAACCUCUUUGGUUCGUCUUAGAGGAAGGUGGGGCUGUCACAAGGGUUACCAAGAACACAGAAAGGCCAUGAUGCAAUUUGGGUAAUCGUAGAUAGAUUGACCAAAUCAGCUCAUUUUCUGCCGAUUAAUAUGAAAUAUCCAUUGGAGAAGUUGGCCAGGUUGUAUUUGGAUGAGAUCAUUAGAUUGCAUGGAAUACCUGUCAGUAUCGUAUCGGAUAGAGAUCCAAGAUUUGUUUCGAGAUUCUGGCAAAAGAUGCAAGAAGUAUUAGGGACUAAAUUGAACUUUAGUACCACUUACCAUCCCCAGACGGAUGGACAGUCGGAGAGGACAAUUCAAACUCUUGAGGACAUGUUACGGACUUGUGUUCUGAACUUUGGAGAGAGUUGGAGUAAGUUUUUAACUUUAGUGGAAUUUGCCUACAAUAAUAGUUUCCACUCUUCUAUUCAGAUGGCCCCGUAUGAGGCACUUUAUGGUCGGAGAUGUAGGUCUCCAAUUUGUUGGGAUGAAGUAGGUGAACGAAAAUUUUUAGAUCCGACUACCGUGUCUUGGAUUGAGGAAGCUAAUGAAAAGGUAAAGUUGGUACGGCAAAGGAUUCAAACCGCUCAGAGCCCUAAACGCACCAAACGAGCCCUAAGGAGGGUUGACUUUGGAGUGAAUUUACACCACUCAUUUUAAUCUUCUCUUGAAAGCUAACCUUGAUCAAAUUUCACUCUUUCUUCUCUCACCAACAGCCGGCCAGCCUUCCCUCUCUCUCACUCCCUUGCUUCACAAAUUUCUUCAUCGAAUUAACCACAAAACUUCAAUCAAUCUUCACCAAACUUGAAGACCAUCUAGCAAACUACUUGGAGGUUGGAUCUAGCUAACUAAAGGGCUGCAUUUCACGGUUUCUUGGAACCUCUUGAGGACCAAAAAUUUCUGGUUUAAAGCAUUAAGGAGGUAUAACCUCAUCCUACACCUUAAACUUGGAUUAUGAUGGUAGAAAUACAUCUUUAAGCUAUUGCAUGUGUAUGGAUGGCUUGAUAUUGUUGGAAAAUUUGAAAAGUGGGCUCUAUGAAUUCCCACACUUGGGUUGUUGUUGAUUAGAGGAUUAAUGUUGGAUUUAAUGGUAGUUUAGUGGUUAAAAUGAUGGAUUUAUGGAGUAUUAUUGUUGGAAACUCAAAGUUGAGGUCAUGACAAGAAAUUUCCGAAACUGCCCCUGUUUUGUUCGGCCAUGAUAAGGCCAAUUUUUGGUGAUUUAUUGGCGUGAACCUGAUGUUUAUAUGUUAUGUUAUAUGUGUAAAAAUUUUCAUUGGAAAACAUUAACGUUUAGAUGGGCAAAUGAAUUUAUUCGUGAACUAGGCAAGCUGGAAAAUUAUUUUCGGAUAACCCUGUCCAGCGGUAACAUUUUGACCAUAACUUUGUCCUCCGAUGUCGAAAUUGAGUGCCGUCAGUGGCAUUCAAAACUAGACAUCCAUACCUUUCCAACGGUAUAAAAUUUGUAUUCUGAUUCCAUGUGUAGGAGCCGACCCAUUCGUUUUAAGAUAGCUGUCCUGUCUCUCGGAUCUGCUGGAAUGGUUUGUAGAGGCAGCAACUUGAGGCUCAAUUUCGAGCUGGUUGCUUGCCAAAUUUCAGAACAUUUCCUUCUGUGAACUUUUAGUCCUAUGAAUUUAUUUUCCAACGCCAUAAACCAUGCUCAAUUGCGAGUUAAAUUGACUGAGUUGUGACCAAAACAAGAGGACUGCCCUGUUUUGGAAAAACGUAAUAUUUGGACUGAUUUGGGAUAAAACCCGGGAGUGAUCUUAUUAAUUGAAAUUUUGAUGCUAAACCAUUACCAAAGGUAUCAUGGAUGUAUCUUAGACCUUUAUUUCACAAAUGAACCAUGGUUGGAUGGCUUUCUUGGUUAAACGAUUUGAAUUGGGAAAUGAAAGUCAAAAGGCAGAUUGCCUUAGAAAUUUUUCCGGAACUUUGGAUGAUUAGUUAACUACCUUCCCGAGGGUAUUUUUCCCUGAAAUUUGAUAGAGAGAUACCUUUCAUAUAGGAGUAAAAUACUGCCAAUUUUAGUACCAAUCCAAGUUCGUUUCGAUACCUAAUUAAAUUUCUAGUGUUGGAGGUUCAAAUCUGGGAAUUCUUCUCCAGUCUUGAAUUUCCCCAACUUUGAGCUACCGUAUCUCGGUACUCGAAACUCCGAUUCUUGAUCCGCUUGCUUUGAUAUAAACCUCACUUGCAAUUCUAAUUGAGUUACAAAUUUCAGAGGCCGGUUUACAACGUGUAAAUCGUGCCGAAUUCUCAAAGUUGGCCGAAAUCCAACUUAAUUCUGCCUUGUAAACCGAGUCUGCACCUUCAAGCUCAUUUUUGAGCACUUUCUACUUCGAUUCAUGGAAAAGUGUCUUCUAGGAACUUAUAGUACUUUCUAAGAGGUUUCCAACGGUAUAAAUUUUUCCAAUUCUCGACUUGUGCCGAGUGAGUUACGAUUUUUCAAAGAUUCAUAAUAAAACUGAAAAUUUUCCAAUUUCAAGGAAAUAGAGUUUUUCAAGAACUCUUUAUUCUUUUGAUAUUAUCUAAACGUUUUAUCCCCGAUUUCCUAGAUAAAGACCUAAAUACUUUUGAUUAUUAUCAAACCCCACUCGAACCUCAAUUUACGAGUAAUUGAGGUUCAUUUUCACGGAAUUCCCUCGAUUAAUGCUAGUGAACGAAUUAUUCCUCGAUAUUUGGGAUGUGAAUGAUAAAUUCACUAUUAUUUGCUCUGGCACACACGAGAAUCUUCAAGAGGAUUCCUCGGUGGACGCUUGAACUUCCCUUGACCUUACUCACACCUAAUAUUUGGUGAGUGUCAGGUGUAUGUAAACUUGUUACAUGUUUAGUUGUUAUUAAUGAUUGAAAAUCUUGAAAGUGGAGCCGAGUGUGUACUUUACUACACUCGUACUUAUUAGAAAUGAAAUUUUAAUGAUUGAAAUGCAUUGAAUGAAUGAAAUGUAUUGGUAUGCUAGCUGUAUAUGUCGUUGGAGUGAAUCUCCUCGACACACAAGUGCACAUGGGGGACGCCCAAAUCUCAUUGGCCGAUCUUGGACUCGAGCCGGCAUGGGCUUGGUCGGAAACCUUGGCGAACCAUGAGAUAUAUAAGCUUGACCUAAUGAGAGGUCUUGCUUGGCAUACUCGAAUAGUAUCGCCACAAACUAAUGACAGGCGGGCCCGAUACAGGGGUAUGUAAGGUGAAAGGGGACAGGUUAAGUGGAGUUCUACGGACUAAACUUGUCCGAUUGACAGAGUGUCAAUUCGUGGAGGUUAUUGCUCGUGCUAGUGGAAUUCAGCUCCUGAGAGCUACUAUAUCCUUGAAUUGUUUCUGUUUACUUUUCCCGCUUGAAUUGUUAUUUAUUGCAGUAUUAUGGCUUGACUUGUAAAUUGAAAUUGUUAUUUGAGCAAUAUGCUUGCAUGUGUGUUCUUGGCCUCACGAGCGUUUUGCUCACCCUGUAGAUUUGUUUUCCUUAACAGGACUGGAUCCGGGGACGUAUUGCAGAACCCCUAUUGAUGUACUUUUGUUUAAGGUUUCUAUCAUCAUUUUGUCUAUGCCUCUUGGUUUUGGGUUGUACUUCUGUAUUUAGAAUGUAGUACUUGGGCAUGAGAUGAAUUUGGGUUUAAAGUUGUAUUUUGAACACCCGAUGUACGGGUUGGAUAAUAGAUGACCAUGGUUAACUUGAACGCUUCCGCAUCACUGUGUUUAUGUUUUGUACUUGUGACUAUUAGAUUAGUUAUAAGCUUGAAUGUUUUGCAUGAGUCCUGGCGAGAGCUGGGCAGGCGUCCCGCAGAUACCCUUUGGUUCGCCUUAGGGAGAAGUGGGGGCGUCACAGACUUUUUGUGCAAUUUCCGUUCAAUCUUCACUACUGCUCCGAUUUUGCCUCAACUUCAACUGAACCUUUCUUGAUGAUAGAAGCUGAAUUAACUCUUGAUCAAAAUAUAAAACUUGUAGCCCUUUGAGUUACUUUCCAAUGUAUCAAGAAUCAUUCAAUUUGUAGCUCUAUGGACCGAGAAAUGACUGAAAUACCCUUAACUACUCACUGCCUUUUCUCAGCUUCGGCCAAUAGAAAUUGGCUACUGUAAUUCGGCUUUUUGACAGGGAAAACCUUCAAACUGGAUUUCGAUGUCUUCAUAAGAUUUGUAUAUAUAUUUCUUUCUUCAAAAUGGUUUAAGAAUAAUCUCAAUUUGAUCACUGUAGCUCAAGUUAUAGCCAAAAUACGCAGAUGUGUCAAAGUUAUCAACUUCCUUUUCAUCUAAAUGAAGUAUAUUUCCAACAAAAUUAUGGACAAAAUGCAAGUAAAAAGUGAAAUAAACCUCAUUUAAUCACUUAAGAGCAUCUUACACCGAUUAUAGCCAAAAUUAUCCAUUUUCUUCCUACAAUAUUGCCAAAGUGACUAAAAAUGACAUAAAACAUCAUUCGAAUAUAGCGUAAUUAAAUUAGUCACUUAUCAACUAUUAACACUUGAUACUUGUUUUGUAUUAAUGGUACUUGUUUUGUAUUUGAACUCUAAUGUAGAUGGAAAUUGCCUAAUUUAGUCGUUUUUUGUUCUAAUAGGAGAUUGGCAUAAUUUGAUAGAAAAUAGAAUGAAAUCACGUGCAAAACUCGACCGCCAACAGGAAGACUGGCACGUGACAUCAUGAGUGACAUAAAACCAAACAUUCUCUAGAGAUUUUUAAUGUUUUACAUCAGUUAAUGUCAAGCACCGGACAUUGCAAUAGACAAGAAGUCUAGGCACCGGAUAUUGCACUAGACAUGCAAUCGGACUUUGUUAGAAACUUAUUGAACUUGACUCUGAUAGCUCUUCAAGACGAAGUUUAAGAUGUUAUAAAUAAGGGUUGUUUAGGAUGCUUUUAAGAGAGGAAAACAUUGUGUACCUCUUUAGUUCAUAUAUUUUACACCUUUUGCUUCAAGAAAUUAAGACAAAGAUGAGCAAGAAUUAAGGUGCAAUCAAGACAAAGAUUAGAGUCGUUAAAAUUGAGACAUUCUACUUACUUUUUAACUUCACUCUUGUAUUUAAUCCUUGAAUUCUUGAAUUAUUCUUUUUUUUAAAUAAAAAAGGAACAGUUAUUUAUUCCAUGAAUUAUUUUAUUCAAAGCCCAUAAUUCAUAUAAAUGUACAACGAUGGAAAUGAUGCAAUAUGGUAUAGGCAUCUUACUUUUCAAUAUUCAUCAUUUUUCCAAUCAUAUUUCUUCUACAAACCACUAAUUGAAAGAACAUAAAAACUGUUUUGUUUAACAAUCCAAGAUUUCUCAUCAUCGUUGAUUGGGGACAGGGGCGCAUUAAGAGCAUUAAAAUUUUGAUAUUUUCUGUUCCAAGCGAAAUGACCGUUGACAUAAAGUACAUCAUCCACUGCUCUGAUGGCUUGAUAAACACCACCAACUGGGAUUGUUUUGUUUCCCCAAUCCUCUGAGUUAGCCUGCAAAUGAACCCAUAACGGUUGGUGGGAGUUCAUUCUUUACAUCAACAUGAUAAAUUCCAAUCACCAAAUUGCAUGAAACUGCAAAAAUGAAUGAUAGAAAAAACAAUGAAGAUUUUGUGAUGUCAGACAUCUUGUGAUUUUCUUUGCUUUUUUUUCUCACAAAAUUCAAGAAAUGCCUAAUUCUUGAAUUAUUCAUGACUAUAUUGAACUAAUUUAAUUCUAGGGUUGGCGUUUUUUUAAAGAAGUCUUGGUUGAUUAUUCUUGUUAAAUUCUUAACUUUUGCCUUGAUUUAUCCAUCUUGUUAUAAUUACAUAUUUAUGCUUGAUCACCAUGGACAUAUUUUAGGAUUUGUAUGAAUUGAGAUGGGCUAUAUAAACGAGCACUAAAUAGAUAGACAUACUUAACCUAAAUACAAGAGUAAUUUAAAAUUUGCAUGAUGUAAUUAAAAUCACUUAAUAUCUUAAAGGGUUCAAUUAAACACUUGUGAUCUCAAGAGAGAUGUGAGAUUUAAAUGGGUGCAAUUUAGAUGUACUGAGAAAAAUAGUUUUUGUGUGAUACGUUCUUGGUAUAUUGAGAAAAUACAUAAACAACUAAUUCAAACUUUGGAUUGAAAUCCAAAAAGCUCUAGUUACUUGCUAGAUGCUUUCUCCCACUUAUCUUCUUUGUUUUGGUUAUUUAAUUUACCUCUUAAGUAGCGAUAAUAAAUCUCUAAAUUUGAAUUUCAUUGAUUUCUAUAAUUAUUGAAGUAAGAAAGUUAAGUUGUCUUUAUGGGUUCAAUUUCUAGAAUACUCCAGGUGAUUUUAUUAGCAGUAAUUGUCGAGUAAGUUUUUGUUCAUUAGAUAUUGCAUCGAGCUUUGUCAAAAACCUGCUUGGACUCAAUUUUGACAACUCUUCAAGACCUAAUUCUGCCAUAUUUCAUCUAGAAGUUUAGGAUGCUAUAAAUAGUAGUUGUUUAGGACAUUUUUUAGGGGAGAAAAAUAUUGUAAUUUUUUAGUUCAUACUUUCAACAUCUUCUUUAAGAAAUCAAGAUCGAGGUGGGCAAGGAUCCAGGAGCGAUCAAGAUGAAGAUUACAGUAGGUAAAAUUGAGAAGUUUUAAUUACUCUUUAUCUUCAUUCUUGUAUUUAUUAUUUGACUUUUGGGAUUAUUCAUGACUGUGCUGAACUAAUUUAAUUUUGGGGUUAGGAUUUUGUGAAAAAAAAAUAUUGGUUAAUUAUUCUAGUUAAAUUCUUGACUCCUUCCUAGUUUAUUUUUCUUAUCUUAAUUACAUGUUUAUGCUUAAUUACCAUGGACAUAAUUUUAGGGUUUGUAUGAACUGAGGGGGAGCUAUACAAUGGAACACUAGAUAGAUAGAUAUACCUAACUAAACUACUAGAGUAAUUUAGAAUUCCUAUGAUGUAAACUAAAUUAUUUAAAUUUUUAAAGGGUUCAAUUGACUGUUUGUGAUCUCAAGAGAGACGUGAGAUUUAAUUGGAUAUAAUUUAGAUGUAUCAAGAGAUAAUCUAAAAAUACAUUUGUGUGACACGCUUUUGGUAUGUAAAGAAAAUACCUAAAUAAUUAAUUCAAAUUUUGGAUCAAAACCUGAAAACUUCUAGUUAGUUGCCAAUUAUUUUCUUCAAUUUAUCUUUGCUUUGAUUAUCUAGUUUACCACUUAAGUAGUAACUAUAAAUCUUUGUAUUUCAAUUUUAUUAUAUUCUAUCAGAAUUAAAGUAAGAUAGUUAAUUCCUCCCUAUGGGUUCGACUCCAAAAAUAUUUAAGUGAUUUUAUUAUUACAAUCAACUAUUUACACUUGUAAAAAAUGUGGAUCACAUGCAUAAGCUACAUAUUUCUCCACUUAAAGAAUAGGCUACAAAUCCCUUAUUGUGUUUAUCUGUACAAGCAUCAAAGUUCAGAUAAUCUUCAAAUUCAUGACUUCAACCUAAAAAUGCCAAAAUAUCAAGCGUUAGAUUUUCCAGACAAACUAUAUGACUAGGUUCAUAGUUCUUCAAUCUCCUCAAUUCAUUAGAAAUUGCCACAUAUAUUGCAUACUCUUGACUAGGAAUUGCAUAAUCUCCUCUCAACGCUUUGAGUAGGUUGUCUAAAUCACUCAAACAUCUCAAGGCAGGAAAUUGGAGCCUUUUCCUUUUAUGUUUGAGACCUAAAAGGAAGAAAGUGGCCUCACACAAAAUGCCACUUGGCCAUAUUGAGUAGAAAAGACUUGUUCGGGCAUUCUGAAGGUUUGAAGUAAUUGAGGGAACCAUAGAAAAAAUCUAGCAUCUAGUUAUGAUCAUUGAAUGCAACAUCAUAACUUGCUUGUCAAAGAUGAUCAGAUAAAGUGGCAUCAGAUCGCAUACUUGGUAAAAAAUGCUGGGAGGUGAGAGUCCUUCUCAACCUAGUGAACUUCAAAUCGUUGUUCCAAUCAUCCAUAACUAGGAAUCCAUUAGUCAAGAAACCGGAGUAAUAGUUAAGAAGUCUAUGUAGGGAAAACUUAACCAAAAAACUCUAAGCAAUCUUUGAUCAUAAUUAGAUUUGUGCCAGACAUAUUGCAAUUUAGAACGUACACAAUCCAUUGAAGAAAUGAUUUAUGUUCUGAGUUAUACAGCUCCAACGAGUUUCAAUUGGUUAUUACUAAUGUUUAUUCUUAAAUAUUUCUAAUCAUAGUAAUAAUAAGAAAGAACAUUAUUAAUACAAAUAGACUAGUAUAUAUAAUAUCUCUUCUAUAUAGUAAAUAUGUUCUACUAUGAAGAUGUGAGACAUCUAAACUAGUAUAUGGAUGCUUGAUAAGAUGUUCAAGUUUAAUACAUUGAUCCAUAGAAAGAUAUCUUUUAAAAUGCCAAAGGAUCAUUCUUUAAGUGAUGUUUGUGUAAGUGAUCUUUUGACUUAAGAUUAUCAUAGUAUUUUGAAUGUGAAUUACUAUAUUUUGACUCUAUUUGAUUACUUCUCGUAACUGAGUGACUAAAAUCAUUAAUGAUUGAAUAUAAUAAGUCAGUAUAAAGAUAGUGAAUAAUUUAUAGAAAUUUACAACAUGUUAUGUAAAAGGGGUUAUCUCAUUGUUGGCUAGCUAUAUACUCAAAAUUUUUGGAGUAAAAUAGAAAGAUUUUAGAAAGUGUUUUCAAGUACUUCUUCGUUAGAGUUAUAUUUUGAUACAAGAAAAUAAUAUUAAAAUUUCACCAUUUUAUUUUUAAUCAUUUUAUUCAUAUUUUUGUUUAUUUUUAAUUUAUUUAGUUUCAUUUUUGUAUUUCUUGAGGAAAAUCAUUGUAGAAAAUCAAAAAAAAAGAAGAAGAAAAUUAGGAAGAAAGGAAUUAGAAAGGAAGAAAAAGAACCAAAAUCAGUUUAAAAGAGAAAAAAAAAAAAAAAAAAAAAGUUCACGCGCGCGUGCUCGCUGCCCAUCUUCAUAUUUGCGGCUAAGAAAACCAGAAAUGAGGACGCAAAGCUGGAGCUGGGUACAAUUCUCCCUUUCAUCCAUUCUGUCCCAAGAUUUUCCAGUAUAAUGACAGCUCACCUCAGCGGGAAUCAUCAGGAAGCAUCUAGAGAAAUAGAUCAAACGGCUCCAAAAAUGAACCCAAAAAAAUCCAACUGAAUCUCAGCCUUGGUUCUAAGGGUUUUUUAUCCAUUUGGCUCCAUAUAAAAAGCAAGAGAAUGGCUUGAAAAGGAGAGGAGAACAGGUAGAGUAAAGGGGGUGGCGGCUGAGUAGAGAAAAGGUAAGGGAAAGGAAAGAAAAGAGGGGAAGUCAAGAGGAAGUUACGGGAACAAAGGAAGGGAGAAGAGUGGAAAAGGCGACUGGCGGGGCUGAGGGAGAAGGAAGAAAGCAAAAGAAAAGAGAGGAAAGCUGUGGGCUGAGGAAAGGGAACAGGGGAACUGGAGAGAGGGUGAGGUGCUGAGAAGAAACCAAGGAGGAAAAAGGGUUUUAGAGGAAAUGAGAGCAAGAGGGCUACGGGAAGAGCUACGGGACAAGGAGAAAAGAAGGGAAGUAAACCGAGAGAAAGGAUAGAAUCUAAGAGAGUAAGAAAGGAAGGAAGGUGGUGGCUGAAGAACCAAAGAAGGAACGAAAAGAGAGUAAGGGACAGCAGGGAGAGAAAAGCAAAUAACGAGCCAAUUUUCUGGAAAAAUCUGGUGUUCAGGUUGAGCCAUCAACUCAUUCUGGAUCAUUUUUCGACUCUAUCUCAGGCCCAUAUAACGAUUUCUUGGCUUCUACGUUUCCCUGGGAAGUUUCUUAACAACAUUUGUUCAGAAAUAAUUUGGAAAAAAUAGUUCCAGAUCUGUCAAAUUCGAGCCCGAAGUUCAGACCUUCAUAGCUCUUCACCAAAGUCUGCAACCUAGGUUUCUUGAUCCUUGGUGAGGUUCGCUCAUUCUGCCUGGGGAUUUCCACCACCAUUUCGAAUCUUUAAGGCAGACAAAGGUAACUCUCCAGCCCUCCCUUGUUCAUUUCAAUUCCUGUAAAAAAAGUAAAUCCUCUAGAUAGGAACGUGGGUUUCUUGCUUAUUGCAUGUUCUGAAAUUCGGUUUAGCAGGCUGCAUUUUUUUUGUUGUUGAAUGAUCAUGGCUAUGGUUUGAUGUUGGAUGUUUUGAGUGAUGUGGUUGUAAACUUUCUUUUGCUCCUAAUGAUACCACCACUGGUUUCAUCAGAAACCAACUACAUUUUCGUUUCCCCUUGCGUCCCUCAUGCUUUGUCUUUGUUUGGAUUUUCAAUGGCUAUGUUGUUCGUCAAAGUGCGUUGAAAGUUUCUAAUGGACCUUAGUUGGUGAUCUUGUUGUUUUCUGGUUUGGGAUUGGUAUAAAAAUUUGCCGCUAACGAUUGCUGUAUGAGGUUUGAUAAACAUUUCAAAGCCAUCCGAAAAGUUGCAGAAAUUUUGUUUCCAGUUUUGCAUGAUUCUUUCUUUCUGAAUUUUUGUGUUUAAGUCUAAGAAUUUUAUGUUGAAAAGUGAAGAAUAUUUGGUGAUCUUGUUGCUUUGGAUCAAUUUGGGUUUGGUUGAGAUGUUAGUUGUCCAUUUGAGACUGUGUUUGAGAACCGCAUUGGAGAACUCUGAAUUGCAGAAGCAUUGCUGCUGAAGAAGGCGGCUUUUCGUAGCUUUGCAUGAAAUGUUUUUCAAAAAUUUGCUUUUUGACCCCUGGAUUUUGGUUUAAUGCUACCAUGGCCUAAAAAUUGGAAAAUUGAAUCAUUUAUGUCCCUUUAACGUGAUAUAUUUCUUUGGUAUGCCUUAAUAUGAUUUUUGGACAGAUUAUAUGCCUUAAUAUGAUUUUUGGACAUAAAGUAAUCAUUUAUGGCCUCUUCUUGUUGGACACAAUCUCCUUUAAGAAUUUUGCAUAUGAUGGCAUAUUUGCAAGAGCUUCCACAAAUGGGAUAUGCACUUCAAACCUUAGAAGCAUCUCAAAAACUUUUGAUAAUGGCCAUCAUUAGUCAUUUGCUUCAAUUUUUGAGGGUAACAAAUGGGUAGCACAUAAACUUUUACUUUGGGUACCUUGCUAGACCGAUCUUCUAUAUGAAUCUAUUUAUCCGAAUCAUGCAUGUUAUCACCAAUUCCUUCACUUUUAGAUUUUUCCUUAUAAAUAUAUGUAGGAUUGUCUAAUACCUUUUUUGAAUGAUGGUUUAGUGCUAUGGUAACUUUCUUAGGAUUCACCUAUGUAUUGCUAGGCAAUCUCUAUGAUUCUCUUUUAGUCACUGUCUUUGCCAAUCGACCAACUUGUCUUUCAAAAUUUUGGAUUAAUGCUCGAUGGGACUGGAUAAGUCGAUUAGUUUGAUCUAUCAUUGAUCUAGUUUUUGAAUAUAUUGCAGUAUCAUAUCUUUAAAAUAUGUUUUUUUUUUCUCUUGAAUAGACUGGGAAGAAUACCAAAAUAUUGGCUAUUGAUUAUGGAACCCAGGUGACCCUAUAGGACUAACUUCUUGAUCCUUCCAAGAAAAAUUAGAAUGACUUCUCUAUCCUGCAUUGUAAGUAUUGGAAAAGGGGUCAUUGUUGAAAUUUUUAUGCACCAUAAGCCCUAACAGAAUUAACAUCCUCAACUAUGAAAAGAGGUUCUCUAUUAUAAUAGCCAGUAAUACUAUACCCAUACGUAUGACAAUAUGAGCAUAGUUCCUAAGAUUGAAUGUCACAAUUUAAAAGCAACUGCACUUGCCGACUUAAUUCAGAAACUUGUGAACUCAAAUCCUUUAAAGUGCUUACUUUAUGAACACCUACUUUAAAGUAUUUUUUAUUGAGAAUUGCUAAAUAGCAACUCAUAAAGGCCAACUAGUUCCUUUAGGGUCUUGUCUCCAAUAUAGCCUUUAAUAGCGAUGUCCACCAUAUUUGGGUUGUCAAUGUCAAUCUAUCAUAGAAAAAUUGCAUCUUUAAUACCAAAGAGUAUUGAUGGUAGGAACACUAUGCAAGUAACAAUUUGAAAUGAAUCCAAACUUCAUGAAUAGGCUCUAAUUCCAUCUAAGAGAAUGUGCAAUGUCGUUCCUCAAAUCAAUGAUCUUUUGAGGUGAAUAGUAUUUGACCAUAAAAAUGUUGUAAACAUCUUUCCGUGUCCUCAACGAUCCUUCUGAUAAAUUCAGUAGCCAAUAUUUUGCACGAGCCAUGAGGUAACAUGGAAGAUACCUCAUUUGUAGGUCAUCUUUUGAAAUACCAUUUAAAAGGAACAUCUGAAUAGCUGAACAAAAUUCAUGGAUAAAAGAGACGGGAUCUUCAUUAGACAAACCGUGAAGUGUAGGCAGCAUAUUGAAGUGAUCGGUCUUCAAUGUAUAGUUUCCAACCCUAUCACUCAAGCGAAUACAAUAUAAAGAAGCUACUAUCAUCGGACAUCAGAUGUCCCUCAAACAAAGUCCAGCAGGUGGAGUAGACCAGGGAUUUAGUUGUUAUUAUUAUUAUUUGGAUGCUUCAAUGCCAUCUUAGAUUCAUCUAAAUUACUUGACUCAGUUAACUCCAAGGCAAAAUGGAUUCUAGGUGAUAAAUGGUGCAAAACUUGAUUCUACAACUAUGCUUGUCUUUUCAAAUUCCUUGCAAUUUUUUUCUAUCUCCAGGUCAAAUUUCAAUUCACCUUUUUGAGAAAAUAAAGUCAUAAAUCAAGUACCUAAAUGAGCAAAAAUCAAAUCUAAAAGUGAAGAACUAAAAAUAAAAUGCCAAAAAUAACUAAAGUAACAAAAUUAAAUGUUAUCCUCAGCAAUGGCAUCAAAAACUUGAUCGAUAAUUACUAUACGUGUACAAAAUUGAUCAUAGUAAUAAAAUUACCUGGAGUGUUCUAGGGAUUGAACCUACAUGAAUGAGUUAUAAUUAUUAUAGAGAGUAAUGAAAUUCAAAUUUAGAGAUUUAUUAUCACUAUUUAAGAGAUAAAUUAUAUAAUUAAAGCAAAAAAGGUAAGUUAGAGAAAGCAAUUGGCAAGUAACUAGGGUUUUUGGGAUUUCGAUUCAAAGUUUGAAUUAAUUGUUUCAAGUAUUUUCUUAAUAUGCUAAGAAUUUAUCACAUAAAGCUACUUUAGAUUAUCUCUCAAUACAUCUAAAUUAUGCUCAAUUAAAUUUCACAUCUCUCUCAAAAUCAUAACUACUUAAUUGAUGAUCUAAGAUUUUAAGUGAUUUUAAUUACAUCAUGCAAAUCCUAAAUUACUCUCAAAUUUUAGGUUAAGUAUGUCUAUAUAUCUAAUACCCAGUUGUAUAGCCCCUCUCAAUUCAUACAAACCCUAGAUGCAUGUCCAUAGUGAUCAAGCAUAAAUAUAUAAUUAAAAUAAGAUAGAUAAAUCAAGACAAAUUUCAAGAAUUUAAUUAGAAUAAUCAACCAAUACUUCUUCACAAAACCCUAAUCCUAGAAUUAAAUUAAUUCAACAUAGUCAUGAAUAAUCCAAGUGAAGAUAAAGAGUAAGUAAAACUUCUUAAUUUUAGUGGCUGUAAUCUUUGUCUUGAUCGCUCCUUGAUUCUUUCCCACCUUUGUCCUGAUUGUUUAAAAAACAAAGAUAUAAAAUGUACGGACUAAAAAGUUACACAAUGUUUUUCUCUUAAAAGUGUCCUAAACAACCCUUGCAUAUAGCAUCCUAAAUUUCUAGUUGAAAUGCAGUAUGAUUAAGUCUUGAAAAGCUAUAAAGUCAAGUUCAAAUAGGUUUUUGACAAAGUCCGACGUAAUGUUCGGUGCUUAACAUUGACUGAUGCAAAAUAUUAAAAAUUUCUGGAGAAUGUCUAGUUCAAUGUCCAUUAUGAUGUCUUGCAUUGGUCUCUUCUAAUUGGCGCUCGAGCUUUGUACCCGAUCAGUCCAUUUUCUAUCAAAUUAAGCCAACCCCUUAUUGGAUCAAAAACUAGAAUAAAUUAGGCAAUUUCCAUCAAUAUUAAAGCUCAAAUAAAGCAAUUAAAGCACUAAACACUCGUAUAAAAUGAGUUCAAAUUCUACCUUAUUAGCAUACGCAAUUAAUUACUUUAAUUUGCAAUUGAUUUUGAUUACUAUUAUAAUUGUAGUAGGCUCAUUUUUUUCUCUUUUUUAAGCUUACCAGAAAUUUCACAUGUUGAAAAAAAAAACUAAUUGCACCUCAUCAUCAUAAUCCUUAUAAUUAAAUUGAUUAGGCUUAUUAUAAUAACUUUAUCAUACAAAUAUAAAUCUAUAAGCAAUCAAUAUUGUAAAGUUAUCAUUUAUUAUAACAUAAAUAGUUCAAAUACAUAUCAAACCCUAAAAGUUGAUUGACUUUAGGGUACAUACACUUUCAUUAAUAUCGAGCCUUUUUCGAAUCGUAUUUUUUUGUUGUGUCAAAAAUUGCCUCCUCUAAAUGUAAAUAUAAUUAGAAAACAAAAUCCAAGCAAGUACAUAUUAUCACCUUUGUGUUUUAGACACUUCGCAAGUACUCAAUAUCACAAAUGAUGCAGGUAAUGAAGUGAGAGAGUUCUAUAUAUAUUUAUAACUUUAAAAGUUUCAGCGUCUGUGAUACAUGUAGAAUCUUUAUUGCAAUACCAAAAGGCAAUAUUUUCUUGUGAAAUGCAUAUAUUUCAAAGUGAAUGAAAUGAAUAGUCUUGAAAGGUUGAAUUACAAAAUUAUCAAAAGUUUUAGAGACAUGUAGAACACUAUUCAAACAAAAUAUAUUGAGUAAUACUGGAAAGAUAGAAGUGUUAUAAUUUAAGAUUUAACAAGAAUUACUAAUACAAGAUUUUUACGAGAUCCCAUGGAUCCAAAUCAAACAAAUUGCCUUACUAUCAUAACUAAAAAUUAAAAAAUUCUCUUAUACGUGACAGCACUAAUUAAACGUAAUUCUUAAUGAUAGAAUAAAAUAUUAAAUUCAUUGGGCACUUACCGUAAGAUAUUUCAAUGCAGUUAUUAACCUCCCUAACAUUGGCCAAACAAUACACUUCUAACUUUCUCCAACAUGAUGCCGAUGAACCCUUGAUUUAGUGGUCAAGUUUGAGAUUCUAUAAAUUAGAGCAGUUGGGCUUAGGUCUCACUAAAUAUAUGUUGUGUCUAUUUUUAUAUUAAUUAUCUUUCCACUAUUUGUGAGUUAAUCAGUUAUAGUGUUGAUUACUUAAUUGGUUAUAAUCAAUUUGUAUUAAUCCCAUUACUGUGGAUUACUUAUACUUUUAUAUAAAAAAAAAAAAAAAAUCUUUCUGUAAAAAUUUUUUUUUUCCUCCAACGUGAUAGCCAAUCUACCUCUGUGUCAUGCUUGUGCACAUGGAUCUAAAUUGGCCUGAGCCAUACACAUUGGAGUGAGUUAGGUUUUUGUUUUUUGAUUAAAAUCAUGAGUUAGGUAUUUAUAUAGUCAUAGGGGUAAAGUGCAAUUCAAGUCAUGGUUCAUCGGGAUUUAGUGCAGUGACCCAACGAUUAAUUCCACUCAUGGAACCCGUGACCUUCCAGCCUUUGGAGUAGGAUAACAUUUUGUUCUAAUUUUUUUUUUUUGUACAAAAACCAAAAAUAAAAAAAUUAACAAAUGGAGUUUUGGAACUUCAAAUUCUCAACACUUCUUCCUCUAACCAUAUUAACCACUUGAAUAGUAUCAAAAUUAAGGACAUGUUAGUUGAGAAAAUGUACAAUAUAUUGAAGGUUGAAGAAAAGAAUUUUAUCGAUUAUGUCCUCAUGUGAAUGAUCUAAUCUGAAUUUGUUUAAUUUAGAAGCUAACGUUAUAGAGCUCAUAGGGCUAAAAAGUGAUAUUCAAAUUGAGCUCGGUUUGGUUAAAAUUUGUUUAAUCUUUGCUUCAUCAACUAAUCAAAUAGUCAUGAACAACAGUCAAAUAGUCAUAAACAUUUACUGUCCAGUUCUAAUUAAUUUUUGCUAUAAAAAAAAUUUUUUCUAUAAAAAGUACUAUUUAAGAUAUUUUUCGUGAUUGAAUAGGGUUGAAUACAAUUGGAAGAAAGAACCAAAAUGGAGCUGAAAUUAGGAGAAAAUUCAAAGUUUAAAGAAGCAGUAGACAAUAAGCACUGGAUUUGAAGCUAAACUUGGAGCUAGACAUCUAUGGGAAACACGUUUUCUUUUAUAUUAAGUUACUUGUUCUCCUCCAACUCAAACCCUAUGACUCUCUAGUAUCUAUAUAAGGAGACCUACGUACAAACAACUUUUGAAGAAACAAAAGAUGGAGAUUUCUACAUUUCUCGUAGCUUUACAAUCUUAGGAAUAGAUUAGAGGAGUUUAUCAAAAUGAAGGAUUUGUGUUUUAGCUAUAAAUGUCUCACAUUUUCUCAAUUAUUCUUGGAGAUUAUUAUUAUUGAGGAAGAAACUCUCAAUUAUGUGUAGCUAAUUUGAUAUUCAACUCAAGGAUUGAAGUCCUAGUUCCAUUAAUUGUGAAAUCGGAUUUCAUAUUUUCAAUCUUUCUAUUAACUAUUUAUGUCUCCUUGAUUUAACUGCUAUUGUUGAUGCAUUUAUGAUGAACUAAGUAGUACAUUAUUUUCUUUAUAUGUAUUUUCACAUUAAAGUACUGAUUUUAUUUUUGAGCUGUACUUGUCUUAAAUUGGAGUCACAGUGGCAACUAAUGCUAAUAACUUAUUGUAUCCUUUUGUGAUAUCUUAGGGGGCAAUGGUGUUGAUUUAAUAAUUUGGGCACCACAAAUUAUUGUUAUCUUUGGUUGAUUUUUGGUUCUUAAAUCUACCAUUACAUUAAUUGAAUUAUGUCAAUACUUGAUUUGUUUAUUGACAAAAAUAAAAUUGGGUCAUUAUUUUAAUCAUUGAUGAAGAUGCUCACCUCGGCCAGCACCGCCUGGCCGAGGUGAACCCUGCUCCUGUCCACUCAAGCACGGUCAAGUCCCACAAAUGACCCCUGAAGUCGACCAAGGCUUUUGGGCGACCUCCUUGGAUGACCUCUAGGGACCACCACCUCGUCCCUUAUCAGAACUCAUCCGUGUCUUGAACAUAACCCCUGUGCUCGGCCGGAUCCCUAGUCUAUCGUGUGGGUGACCUCGGCACCCCCACCUCGGCCGCACGCUGAUGAUGUCAGACCACCUGACAUCACCCGGGACCAGUGCUUUAUCUGAAAAGCACUGGAGGCACUUAAUGGCACCUGCCCAACACGCUCCGUCAUCAUACCCAGAAGGCUACAGUGUCAGGGUCAGACCUCCUGACAGGGGACAGAGCCGUAAUGCCAGAGAGUGGGUCCCACCAGCAUGGACUUUCCGUCCUGUCCUUUACUCUCCUAUAAAUACCCCACACACACUCCCAACAAGUAAGCAUACACACUCCCAACAAGUAAGCAUACACUGUUCAUUGACUCGUAUUCUUAUUAUUCUCGUUCUCAUACUAACUUGAUCGUCGGAGUGAUCCCAGGGGAGAAGCCCCGCCACUCACUUCAGCUCGGUAGGUUCACUUCGGACCUAUCACACCACCUCAGGGAAGGCUGAUUCAGGUCGGCUCAGCUACCAACCAAAAAUCCCCUCUUCAAUUGGCGCCGUCUGUGGGAAACGAGACUUGCUAAGAUGAGAUCCACGCGCUCUAGAAGCGGAAGAGUUCCCUCCACCGGGGCUGGGCAGACCUCGGGAGCCCAGCAAGAUCGCAUUUCUGAAGAGCAAGGGUCCCAAAGGACCCAGCCCAACAAGGAGGACGCCAUCGCCAAGAUGGCCGAGUUCGUAUCAGACAACCCCAACAUUUUUGAGGAGCUGGGAAGAUACCUCAAGAGACAGGGGAAAGAAAAGGCCGAGUCUUCCAAGAGGAGGCCGACGAAAUCUCCUGAAACGCCCUCAGGUGAGGACUCUGAUGAGGGGCGUCUCUCUCGGAGUACCUCUAGGCGCGCCUCUUCCAAGGCAACCUCUAAACUUGCCUCCAUCUCCCGGCGUUUUCUCGGGGACUGCUAGGGAAACGUGCCGAGGACCCGCCUCGGCGCCCCGGGGGCCUAGCUUCUGACUACAUGAGGGCUCCGCCCUUCACCGAUGACAUCAAUGGGGAGAUGGUGCCCCCGAACUUCAAGCUUCCAAACUUGCACACUUAUGACGGCCGAGGUGACCCCGAGGAUCACCUCCGCGCCUUCAUCUCCGCUUUCCGCCUCUACUGCGUCCCAAACACCGUGAUUUGUCGGGUUUUCCCCAUCUUCUUACAUGGGGACUGCCCGAAAGUGGUUCUGGAGUUUAGAACCAGGGAGCAUUUCCUCCCUGGAUGAGCUGAUAGACCGGUUCAUCCACCGCUUUGUGUCGUCUCGACCAAUAACGAAAACUUCAGCUUACCUCUUGAACCUGCAACAGGAUCAGGGCGAGUCACUUCGCUCAUACGCCCAGAGGUUCAACGAGGAGAAUGUACAGAUACCUGAUCAGAACGAGCAGGUAACUAUUGCUGCCUUCACCAACGGGUUAGUAGCUGGGAUCUUCAACACCGAAAUCCAUCGGGAAUACCCCCGUACACUUCGGGAACUUUGGGAAUGAGUGGACCAGGGAAUCCGAAGUGAAGAUGUAAACCGCAUGAAGCGAGAAGCCCAAGCAUCUCGUACGGGGCAAGAUCCCCGGAGAAGGAAAGACACCGACCGAAGUGAACCAGGCCCAAGUGGCACCUCAACCCAACUUCGAGACCGCCGGAGUGUCUUCGACCGGAUCGUGAAGGGAAGGUCGUCCACCUCGGACGCCGAGUUGACCCCGCUCAAUUCAAGCCGGUCUCAUGUUUUGGCGGUGAUGAGGCAAAACCACCUCGGCCGAACACCUCCUGAGAUUCCGGGGAGGAGGGAUAGGAGAAACUUCAACCUCUAUUGUGCCUACCACCGAGACGUUGGGCACGAGACCGAAGACUGCAACGAUCUGAAGCGAGAGAUCGAAAACCUGAUUCGGCAAGGACACUUAAAACAAUUUGUCCGCGAAGAUGGAGGCUUCAACCGAAGCGUCUCCCACCGGGAGAGCCAAGGUCCACGCCGAGAAGACAGGCGGGACACGAAACUUCAAUGCCGAGGUCCCGAGGACCAUAACGAAGGAAAGAGGCCUCCACGCGACGGAUCACCAGGCUACGGCCCAAACAUCGCCGGGGUGAUCAACACAAUCGCGGGUGGCCCAACGGGAGGAGACAACCAGAACUCCCGAAAAAGGACUUACCGCCAGGCCGGCAUGGAAGCGGCCGAGCCGAGCUCCCGGCUAUCUGAUGUGAUCACCUACGGUCCCAGUGACCCCGUCCCCGCCGCUUCCAGCAAUCACGAGGCCCUCGUGAUUGAGGUCCUCACUAAUAAUUACAUCGUCAAAAAGGUCUACGUUGACCCCGGAAGCUCGGUAAACGUCCUGUACUACCGAACUUUCGAGAGUUUGAAGCUGAUCCGGGAACAACUCACUCCAGUCAGAACUCCCCUUGUCUGCUUCGGGGGACAUGUCGUCCACCCGGAGGGUAUGGUGACCUUGAUGGUGACCAUUGGGCGCCAUCCCCGCUGCCGAACCGUGCCUGUCAGCUUUGCGGUGGUCAAAGCAGAUUCUCCUUACAACAUGCUGAUAGGCCGGCCCACGCUCAAUGCCUUGAGAGCUGUGUAUUCAACAUACCACUUGAGCUUUAAAUUCCCAACACCUGCAGGGGUGGCCGAGGUGAGCAGCGACGUGGGCGCCGCCCGGGAGUGCUACAUCGCCACCAUUCAAGCAGCAGUCGCACCUCGACCCUUGCCGAGGUCAGAAGAUAAGAGGCCCGCGGUCCUCUCCAUAGACUGCAUCGACCCUCACAAGGCAGGAAAGCCCAGCAGGCUUGAGUCAGGGGAUGAAGUGGAACAAGUGGUCUUGGAUGAGGCGAGACCUGACCAAGUGGUCCAAGUAGGGGCCGAACUCCCCUUACCCCUGAAGGAAGAAAUGAUCUCCCUGAUCAAGGGCCACCGAGACAUCUUCGCGUGGUCCGCCGAUGAAGUGGUGGGAGUGCCACCCGAGCUCAUGAUUCAUCAACUUAACGUCAACCCAUAGGCACGACCUGUGCGGCAGAAACGGAGGCACUUCGGCCCCGAGCGUAGCAAGGCCAUAUCGGAUGAGGUCGAUAAACUCUUGCAGGCCAAGAUGAUCCAUGAGGUCCAAUAUCCCACCUGGCUAUCCAACCCAGUCAUGGUCAAAAAGGACAUCGGUGGGUGGAGAAUGUGUGUAGACUUCACCGACCUCAACAAGCCCUGCCCCAAAGAUUGCUAUCCUCUGCCGAGGAUAGACGCCCUAAUCGACUCGGCGAUGGGGUAUGAGAUCCUCUGCUUCCUAGACGCCUUCAAAGGGUAUCAUCAGAUAGGAAUGAGUGAAGAGGAUCAAGAGAAGACGGCGUUCUACACCGACCAAGGUGUUUAUUGCUACACUACCAUGCCAUUUGGGCUAAAGAACGCCGGGGCAACCUACCAGAGGUUGAUCAACCGCCUCUUCAGAAACCAGCUCGGCCGUAAUGUGGAGGCCUACGUGGACGACAUCCUUGUCAAGAGCCAGGCCACUUCGACCUUUCUGUCCGAUGUGAAGGAAGUCUUCGGCGUCCUGCGGGACUCAAGAAUGAAGUUGAAUCCCAAGAAGUGCGUCUUCGGCGUCAUUUCGGGAAAAUUCUUGGGGUUUCUGGUUUCCCACCGGGGAAUCGAGGCCAACCCCGACAAGGUCAGGGCCAUUCAGGACAUGUCCCCACCUCGGAACAUCCGAGAGGUCCAAAGGUUGAAUGGACGCCUGGCCGCGCUGAAUCGCUUCCUGUCCCAAUCCGCCGAGAAAGCUCUGCCCUUCUUUAAGGUGCUGAAAAAGACUGACCAGUUUGCCUGGACUGAGGAGUGUCAGGCUGCUUUCGACCAGCUGAAACAGUACUUGCAUCAUCUACCCACCAUUGCUUCACCUCGGCCCGAGGAGAAGCUCUUCCUCUAUCUCUCCGCAGCCGACGAGGCUGUCAGCGCCAUGCUCAUCCGAGAUGAGGGCACCCAAGUGCCGGUUUACUACGUCAGCCGAGCUCUCCGCGGGCCGGAGACCCGAUACACUCAAGUGGAAAAACUUGUGCUGGGACUAGUCCACGCAGCUCGGCGAUUGAAGCCCUACUUUUUAGCUCAUCCCAUCUCCGUCAGGACCGACCAGCCCAUUCGGCAGAUAUUGGUGCGACCUGAAGCUUCUGGUCGCCUCACCAAGUGGGCUAUCGAAUUAGGGGAGUAUGACUUGUCAUACGAGCCACGCACCGCCAUAAAAGCUCAAGCUUUAGCUGACUUCCUUGCUGAGCUCACCUUCACGGAAGGUCCGGAGUCCACCUCCGCCUUAGCCGAGGUGUCCACCCCAUCCCUGUGGACAUUGUAUGUAGAUGGAUCCUCUAAUGGAGACGGCAGCGGAGCUGGACUACUCCUAGAAGGGCCUCAGGGAGAAGUGUGCUCAUACGCCCUCCGCUUUGGCUUCCCGGCCACCAAUAAUGAAGUCGAGUACGAGGCCUUGAUUGCUGGACUCCAACUGGCCCGCAGGCUCGGUGCCCAACAAAUCCACGUCCGCAGUGACUCCCAACUAGUUGUACGCCAAGUUCUUGGUGAAUACGAGGCCAAGGAGAAGACCAUGCAACGGUACCUCUCCAAAGUUCACCAACUCAUCGCGUACUUCGAGUCUUUCGAAAUCCAAAGAAUACCCCGGUCCCAGAAUAAGCGAGCCGACGCCUUAUCCCGGCUGGCUUCCACUUCAUUCUCUGACCUCAACAAGACAGUCUUGGUGGAAGUGCUGGAUGAACCGGGAUACGUGGAAGAGGUGGCCUGCCCCGUGCACUCCGAAGAUACCUGGAUGACCCCGUUCAUCCUUUUCUUGGGUCAGGGAGCACUCCCUGAAGACCGAGCCGAGGCGAGAAGAAUACAACGCAAGGCGGCUCAGUACGCUCUCCGCGAUGGAGAGCUGUACAAACGCUCCUACCUCGACCCAUGGCUGAGGUGUGUCACUCCCGAGGCCGGACGUCACGUCCUCCACGAGAUCCACGAAGGCCUGUGCGGAGCUCACGUCGGCCACAGGAUGUUAGCCAAGAAGACUAUGCUCCUUGGAUAUUUCUGGCCAUCACUUCGGCAAGACUCCCAGGACCUCAUUCUCGGCUGUCCUUCCUGCCAAGUCCACGCACCCGAGCACCACUUGCCCUCAAACUUCAUGGUUCCCAUCACUUCACCCUGGCCGUUCGAACAAUGGGGGACAGACAUCAUAGGUCCUUUCCCCAGAGCCGUCGGGGGUUAUACCUUCCUGGUAACAGCCGUGGAUUACUUCACCAAUUGGGUUGAGGCCGAGCCUCUGAGGACCAUCACCGGGCUGACCAUUCAAAAAUUCUUUUGGAAAUGCAUUAUCUGCCGCUUCGGCAUACCUCAGGUCAUCAUUUCGGAUAAUGGAAGGCAAUUUACCGAGAACCCCUUUAAAGUCUGGUGUACAAACCUUGGCAUCAAACAACACUUCACUUCGGUAGGCCACCUCCAAGCCAAUGGUCAAGCAGAAAACUUCAAUCGGACUCUCCUGCAUGGUCUCAAGACCCGACUCCACCGAGUUGGGUCAUCUUGGGUGGAAGAGCUUCCAAGUGUCCUGUGGUCUUACCGGACCACGCCGAGAUCCGCCAUGCAAGAGACCCCUUUCUCCUUGACCUACGGCGCCGAGGCCGUCAUCCCUGCCGAGAUCCUUACCCCCAGUCCCCGGCUGGCAGCCUAUGCAGCCGAGGUGAACGAUGAAGAGAGACAGCUGGAUCUCGACCUCAUCGAAGAAUGAAGGGACCUCGCCUCAGCCCGGAUAGCUUCAUACAAGAACACACUGGCACACUAUUACAAUGCCCGUGUCAGACAUCGUACAUUCCAUCCUGGAGACUUGGUUCUUAGAAAAAACUCAAUCAGCCGAGCUGAACCGCAAGGGAAAUUGUGCCCGAAAUGGGAAGGCGCUUAUCGAGUUGUGGAAUCUGACCCUAAGGGGUAUUGUAAACUGAGUUACCGAGAUGGCUCAUUAGUGUCGAGGUCUUGUCACGCCGAGAACCUCAAGUUAUAUUAUGCUUGAAUUCUUAAUGAAGUUAUGACUUCGGAUGUUAUGUUAUUUUUCAACAUCGGUAUUACGCUAUUCAAAAAAUAAGGGGGACAAGCAAGGGACGAAGUCAAAGCAAGAAAUUAAAAAUGCUGAGAUGAGAAGAAAUAAGUUUUCAUUCAACACAAAAGAGGUGUUACAAAAAAUACAAGGCCGAGGUCGGAAUGCUACUAAACAUUCUCCACCUCGUCCACCCCUUUAAGGCCUACGAGCCUAGACCCCCGUCUCGGCUCCAUCCCCGGUCUUGACUCCCUCCUGUGCAGCCUUCUCGCCGGUCUCUUCCCCGCUGGGGUGAAGCUCAUCUCCUCCAGGCACUUCGUCACCUGUGCGCCGAAGUCUUCCUCAGGGUUCUCCUCCCCGCUUUCCUCGAGCACUUCGUCGAGUUCGGACAGCCACUUGUUGAACUCGUUUUGGACUUCGGCCAAAUUCCUUCCUGCCUGAAUGCCUUCGGCCAUCCGAUCACAUAACUUCUUGGAGUCCUCAUUGUAGCUGGCAUGGUUUUUCAAAGACUCCAAGGCUUCGGAGGAGAGGUGAGCUGCGGCCUCGUCAAUGGCCGAAGUGAAGCCAAACAUGAAGUUAGGCGUAAGUAGUUGGCCGAGGUCCUUGAUGAAGGCCUCAAACUUCCGGAAAGCCUCGGACUUCCGGAAAGCCUCCACGGCCGAGGCUCCAACACUCUCGAGAGCCUGUUCAUGGGACUUCUUCACCUCGUCCCUCCUCUUUUCCUCCUCCUCGAGGGCCGACCUGAGACUAUUCAUUGUAGCCUCGGCCUCUUCGCCCUUAGCCUCGGCUUCCUGAAGUCGCCUCUGAAGCUCCAAUUUCUCGGAUUCGGACACCGCCAGUUUUUUCUCCAACUUAGAGAGCUGAUUCUGCAACUUGCCGGUGUCCUGCUCCUCUACCAGAGCACAGUACCGGUGUGUCAUCUCGGCCACAAAGGCCGAGGUGGAAGCUGUGGACACCAUGAGGCCCUGGACCAUCUCAGUCGGGGACAGCUUCUUCAUGAACUCCAAGUCCCUUCAACUGACAUGCCCACGUGUCACGCCCCCGCGUCUUCCGGAGCCCUGUACAGGACCCCGAUCCUGAAUGAUUUCGGCACCAGGAAGCCUCGGCACCUCGUAAUCCCCCGAGCUCCCGAGGCUUGGGGGGGCUUAUUGAAGAUGCUCACCUCGGGCAGCACCGCCUGGCCGAGGUGAACCCUGCUCCCGUCCACUCAAGCACGGUCAAGUCCCACAAAUGACCCCUGAAGUCGACCAAGGCUUUUGGGCGACCUCCUUGGAUGACCUCUAGGGACCACCACCUCGUCCCUUAUCAGAGCUCAUCCGUGUCUUGAGUAUAACCCCUGUGCUCGGCCGGAUCCCUAGUCUAUCGUGUGGGUGACCUCGGCACCCCCACCUUGGCCGCACGCUGAUGAUGUCAGGCCACCUGACAUUACCCGGGACCAGUGCUUUAUCUGAAAAGCACUUGAGGCACUUAAUGGCACCUGCCCAACACGCUCCGUCAUCAUACCCAGAAGGCUACAGUGUCAGGGUCAGACCUCCUGACAGGGGACAGAGCCGUAAUGCCAGAGAGUGGGUCUGUAAGUGCCCGGUGCAACCCAAUGAGUACAAACAAAUUCACAAUGAUGCACAAAGAUAUAUCAAAUUUAAGCACAAUAAAGAAAACUUAAUUAAAGAGAAAAGAUAAGAAAUGCAAACAAAAUAUCAAUCCAAUAGCCUCUUCAAUUGAUGGCGAUGCUAACCAAGAUGUACAAGUGAAGGUUCACUCCUUCCUCACCCCAAAUACUCUUUGGUUGAGCCAAGGAGUUUUACAACAAUUCUAGUUAACCCUCAACAACCUACACUUGAAAGAUCACUCACCCAAUUAAGAACUAUUUUAUACAAAUGAGGCAACCUUCACCAAGGUUUUACCACUCCAAGUGAUAGGUUCACCUUCACCAAGGUUUUCACUUGAGCAACCUCACAACCCAACUUUCCCAACCCCUUAUACAACCAACAAAGAAUCUUUCUACUCAAAAAUCUCACUUGUAAGCUUGUAUUUUGUGUUGGCAAAAGUCUCUAGUCUUCUUGUGCUUUGGGGUUUUUAUAGAAGGUGAGAAAUGGCUCCAAAAGACUCUCCAACGGUCAAAUAUUAAUUGCUGUCAAAACUAGCCGUUGGCCUGUCGGACGUCCGACAGGUGCCUGUCAGACGUCCGAACCACCUGUCGGACGUCCGAACCCUGCGUCCGAACGUAGGCAGAGAGUCAUCAAAUCUUUGCGAAAUUUCUCGGACGUCCGAUGCGAUCGAUGUGCGUCCGACAGGACGUCCGAUGCUUCCUUCUUUUCUUCUUGAUGUUCUUCAUCCUUUCGGACGUCCGAUAGUUUCCUUUUGGCCGUCCGACAUGAGUGACCUGAUUUUGCUUCUUCAUUUGGUUGGUUUUCUUUCCUUGACACCAUUGAACCUGAUUCUAACAAAUUUCUCACAUAAAAACAUUAGACCAAAUCUACAUUUUGGUUUGUUAAUCAUCAAAACCAAGGAUUGAUCGACCAAGGUCAACAAUCUCCCCCUUUUUGAUGAUGACAAACAAAAUGAAGAUUUCUUUUAUCAAAUAAGUUCAAAUAAAGCUCCCCCUUAGAAAGUGCCAACAUGCAAAGAAAUUUCAAUAAAUCCUACUCCCCCUUUUGGCAUCAAUCAAAAAGCAAACUCCCCCUUUAUUUUUCAAGUCAAUACCAUAAUAGGGUCCUUGGGAGUUAUUAUAACAUGAUCUAGCAAUCCACAUGGAUUUCAUACCUUUUCUCAUAUUUUUCUUUACAUAGCAAUCAUUUUGCAUGUGUCCAAAUUGGCAACAAAAGUGACACAUGAUAGAAGUAUUUUGCACAUAAGUGGAUUUAAUGCAACUAAUUUUCUUAGCAAACUUAUUUGUGCCUUGAAAAGAUUUGCUUUCUUUUGUUUGAGAAAACUUUUGUUUUUCAUUUUGGAGAACCUCGUUCAAGUCAUUAAUUCUUUUCUUUAACAAAUUUUGUUCCUCCAACAUUUUUUCAUAAAACUUUGUUUUCUCUUCCAACUUCCUUUUCAAAUUAUUUUUGCAAUCAAAAACACCUUUUUGAUUUUUUAAAUCAUCAUUUUCCAUUCUCAAACAUUUGUUUUCUUGAAAAAGUUUGGAGUUUUCUUCCAACAAAUCAUUUAUUUUUGUUUUCAAAUCUUUAUUUUUAGCAUAAGAUUUUUUCAAACUUUUAUGCAUUUUAAUCAUAAGAGUUUUCACAUCAUCAUCUUCAUUAUCUUCAUCACAAGAAGAGUGAUAAGAACUUACCUCAUCUUCUCCAACGGCCAUUAGUGCCAUUUGGGCCAACUCUUCUUUUUCUCUUUUUGAAUUGCAUUCAUCCCAUGUAAUUUUGCAAUCUCCUCUUGAACAUCUCUUGUUGAAGAUCUUCUUGAAACUUUUGAUGUGAGGAGAUAUAUCAUUGUCCACUUCCAUGAUUUCAUUACCCAUGAAGGAUGGGUUAUCCCCCACUUGAGAUGCUUUAAAAGCUAUGCCUCUCUUAUACAUUCUUGCAUUUUCUUCCUCUUGCACUUUGAAUUCCAGCUUUAAUUCAUAAGAGGUUAGGGUAUCCACAAGAGAUUCAAUGGACAUAGAAUUUAAAUCCUUUGCCUCUUCUAUAGCAUUUAUUUUGUUUUCCCAUUCUUUUGGCAAGGCAUUCAAAAUCUUUCUAUUUUUCUCACCCAAAGAAUAUUCUUUUCCAAGCAAUUUAAGAUCUUCAAUAAUGUCACAAAAUCUACUACACAUCUUAUCAACAUUUUCAAGAGGAUGCAUUUUGAAAAAUUCAUAUUGAGAAACAAGUAAAGAUUUCUUUUGUUCUUUAAUAUCUUGAUUACCUUCAUGAAAUACACACAAUUUAUCCCAAAUAUCUUUAGCUGAUUUACAACCUUUAAUCCUACUAGAUUCAUUUACAUCUAAUGCAUUGUACAAUAUACACAUGGCCUUGGCAUUCAAAGAAAGGUAUCUCUUGUCUUUUUCAUUCAAUUCUUGUCUAGUCUUUAAUCUACUUAAAUUGGUGAUAGAGUCAACUAUUCUAGCUUCAUAAGGACCAUCUUCUACCACAUACCAUAAUUCAAUGUAAACAGAUUGUAAGAAAAUCAUCAUUCUUUGUUUCCACAUGCUAAAAUGAGAACCAUUAAACAUAGGUGGUCUAUCAAUAGAUUGCCCUUCUAAAAAAGAAACUUUUAUGGUUGCCAUGAUCUUUACUCUAAGCGGUUAAGCUUGAUCAAAAGAGACCAAGCUCUGAUACCAAUUGUAAGAGCCCGGUGCAACCCAAUGAGUACAAACAAUUUCACAAUGAUGCACAAAAAUAUAUCAAAUUUAAGCACAAUAAAGAAAACUUAAUUAAAGAGAAAAGAUAAGAAAUGCAAACCAAAUAUCAAUCCAAUAGUCUCUUCAAUUGAUGGCGAUGCUAACCAAGAUGUACAAGUGAAGGCUUACUCCUUCCUCACCCCAAACACACUUUGGUUGAGCCAAGAAGUUUUACAACAAUUCUAGUUAACCCUCAACAACCUACACUUGAAAGAUCACUCACCCAAUUAAGAACUAUUUUAUACAAAUGAGGCAACCUUCACCAAGGUUUUACCACUCCAAGUGAUUGGUUCACCUACACCAAGGUUUUACUACUCCAAGAGAGUAACCUUCACUUGAGCAACCUCACAACCCAACUUCCCCAACCCCUUAUACAACCAACAAAGAAUCUUUCUACUCAAAAAUCUCACUUGUAAGCUUGUAUUUUGUGUUGGCAAAAGUCUCUAGUCUUCUUGUGCUUUGGGGUUUUUAUAGAAGGUGAGAAAUGACUCCAAAAGACUCUCCAACGGUCAAAUAUUAAUUGCUGUCAAAACUAGCCGUUGGCCUGUCGGACGUCCGACAGGUGCCUGUCAGACAGGUGCCGAAACCACCUGUCGGACGUCCGAACCCUGCGUCCGAACGUAGGCAGAGAGUCAUCAAAUCUUUGCGAAAUUUCUCGGACGUCCGAUGCGAUCGAUGUGCGUCCGAGGCGUGCGUCCGAUCCUUCCGGACGUCCGAUGCUUCCUCACGAGCGUCCGACAGAGUUUCCUUCUUGAUGUUCUUCAUCCUUUCGGACGUCCGAUAGUUUCCUUUUGGCCGUCCGACAUGAGUGACCUGAUUUUGCUUCUUCAUUUGGUUGGUUUUCUUUCCUUGACACCAUUGAACCUGAUUCUAACAAAUUUCUCACAUAAAAACAUUAGACCAAAUCUACAUUUUGGUUUGUUAAUCAUCAAAACCAAGGAUUGAUCGACCAAGGUCAACAAUCUCCCCCUUUUUGAUGAUGACAAACAAAAUGAAGAUUUCUUUUAUCAAAUAAGUUCAAAUAAAGCUCCCCCUUAGAAAGUGCCAACAUGCAAAGAAAUUUCAAUAAAUCCUACUCCCCCUUUUGGCAUCAAUCAAAAAGCAAACUCCCCCUUUAUUUUUCAAGUCAAGACCAUAAUAGGGUCCUUGGGAGUUAUUACAACAUGAUCUAGCAAUCCACAUGGAUUUCAUACCUUUUCUCAUAUUUUUCUUUACAUAGCAAUCAUUUUGCAUGUGUCCAAAUUGGCAACAAAAGUGACACAUGAUAGAAGUAUUUUGCACAUAAGUGGAUUUAAUGCAACUAAUUUUCUUAGCAAACUUAUUUGUGCCUUGAAAAGAUUUGCUUUCUUUUGUUUGAGAAAACUUUUGUUUUUCAUUUUGGAGAACCUCGUUCAAGUCAUUAAUUCUUUUCUUUAACAAAUUUUGUUCCUCCAACAUUUUUUCAUAAAACUUUGUUUUCUCUUCCAACUUCCUUUUCAAAUUAUUUUUGCAAUCAAAAACACCUUUUUGAUUUUUUAAAUCAUCAUUUUCCAUUCUCAAACAUUUGUUUUCUUGAAAAAGUUUGGAGUUUUCUUCCAACAAAUCAUUUAUUUUUGUUUUCAAAUCUUUAUUUUUAGCAUAAGAUUUUUUCAAACUUUUAUGCAUUUUAAUCAUAAGAGUUUUCACAUCAUCAUCUUCAUUAUCUUCAUCACAAGAAGAGUGAUAAGAACUUACCUCAUCUUCUCCAACGGCCAUUAGUGCCAUUUGGGCCAACUCUUCUUUUUCUCUUUUUGAAUUGCAUUCAUCCCAUGUAAUUUUGCAAUCUCCUCUUGAACAUCUCUUGUUGAAGAUCUUCUUGAAACUUUUGAUGUGAGGAGUUAUAUCAUUGUCCACUUCCAUGAUUUCAUUACCCAUGAAGGAUGGGUUAUCCCCCACUUGAGAUGCUUUAAAAGCUAUGCCUCUCUUAUACAUUCUUGCAUUUUCUUCCUCUUGCACUUUGAAUUCCAGCUUUAAUUCAUAAGAGGUUAGGGUAUCCACAAGAGAUUCAAUGGACAUAGAAUUUAAAUCCUUUGCCUCUUCUAUAGCAUUUAUUUUGUUUUCCCAUUCUUUUGGCAAGGCAUUCAAAAUCUUUCUAUUUUUCUCACCCAAAGAAUAUUCUUUUCCAAGCAAUUUAAGAUCUUGAAUAAUGUCACAAAAUCUACUACACAUCUUAUCAACAUUUUCAAGAGGAUGCAUUUUGAAAAAUUCAUAUUGAGAAACAAGUAAAGAUUUCUUUUGUUCUUUAAUAUCUUGGUUACCUUCAUGAAAUACACACAAUUUAUCCCAAAUAUCUUUAGCUGAUUUACAACCUUUAAUCCUACUAGAUUCAUUUACAUCUAAUGCAUUGUACAAUAUACACAUGGCCUUGGCAUUCAAAGAAAGGUAUCUCUUGUCUUUUUCAUUCAAUUCUUGUCUAGUCUUUAAUCUACUCAAAUUAGUGUAGAGUCAACUAUUCUAGCUAUAAGGACCAUCUUCAAUAUAAACGGAUUGUAAGAAAAUCAUCAUUCUUUGUUUCCACAUGCUAAAAUGAGAACCAUUAAACAUAGGUGGUCUAUCAAUAGAUUGCCCUUCUAAAAAAGAAACUUUUAUGGUUGCCAUGAUCUUUACUCUAAGCGGUUAAGCUUGAUCAAAAGAGACCAAGCUCUGAUACCAAUUGUAAGUGCCCGGUGCAACCCAAUGAGUACAAACAAAUUUCACAAUGAUGCACAAAGAUAUAUCAAAUUUAAGCACAAUAAAGAAAACUUAAUUAAAGAGAAAAGAUAAGAAAUGCAAACCAAAUAUCAAUCCAAUAGCCUCUUCAAUUGAUGGCGAUGCUAACCAAGAUGUACAAGUGAAGGUUCACUCCUUCCUCACCCCAAACACUCUUUGGUUGAGCCAAGGAGUUUUACAACAAUUCUAGUUAACCCUCAACAACCUACACUUGAAAGAUCACUCACCCAAUUAAGAACUAUUUUAUACAAAUGAGGCAACCUUCACCAAGGUUUUACCACUCCAAGUGAUAGGUUCACCUUCACCAAGGUUUUCACUUGAGCAACCUCACAACCCAACUUUCCCAACCCCUUAUACAACCAACAAAGAAUCUUUCUACUCAAAAAUCUCACUUGUAAGCUUGUAUUUUGUGUUGGCAAAAGUCUCUAGUCUUCUUGUGCUUUGGGGUUUUUAUAGAAGGUGAGAAAUGGCUCCAAAAGACUCUCCAACGGUCAAAUAUUAAUUGCUGUCAAAACUAGCCGUUGGCCUGUCGGACGUCCGAACCACCUGUCGGACGUCCGAACCCUGCGUCCGAACGUAGGCAGAGAGUCAUCAAAUCUUUGCGAAAUUUCUCGGACGUCCGAUGCGGUCGAUGUGCGUCCGACAGAGUUUCCUUCUUGAUGUUCUUCAUCCUUUCGGACGUCCGAUAGUUUCCUUUUGGCCGUCCGACAUGAGUGACCUGAUUUUGCUUCUUCAUUUGGUUGGUUUUCUUUCCUUGACACCAUUGAACCUGAUUCUAACAAAUUUCUCACAUAAAAACAUUAGACCAAAUCUACAUUUUGGUUUGUUAAUCAUCAAAACCAAGGAUUGAUCGACCAAGGUCAACAGGGUCCCACCAGCAUGGACUUUCCGUCCUGUCCUUUACUCUCCUAUAAAUACCCCACACACACUCCCAACAAGUAAGCAUACACACUCCCAACAAGUAAGCAUACACUGUUCAUUGACUCGUAUUCUUAUUAUUCUCGUUCUCAUACUAACUUGAUCGUCAGAGUGAUCCCAGGGGAGAAGUCCCGCCACUCACUUCAGCUCGGUAGGUUCACUUCGGACCUAUCACACCACCUCAGGGAGGGCUGAUUCAGGUCGGCUCAGCUACCAACCAAAAAUCCCCUCUUCAAUUAAAAUUAGAGAAACUGUGAAUUUUUCUGGUAUCUAGAGGAGCCUAGGCCAUACAGUUGAUCAUAAAUUGAAUCUUUAACUAUUGAUGAUCAAUUGCAAUAUAAAACUUCUUGUCCUUGGAUUCGCUCUUUUACUACUGGUUUAGUUCUUUCAAUCUCUCACCCCUCCCCACACUCUUCCUGCUCCUUUCCACACCCUUCUCAUUCCUAACAACCACACCCUUCCUAGUGGUUUAAUCCUUGUUUUUAUUAUUGCUGUCUUAUUGCUAUUUCUUUACUAUUUUUAGAUCAUCAAAAUUUAUCCUUUGCCACUUCAACAUAGGAAAUUAAGUGUUACAACUAUUCCUUAUAGGAUCAACCUAGGUUUCCUUCACUACAAAAUCUUAACAUUCUACUAGUAUUUUAGUUUUGACACUCGUACCAAGUGAUCAUAACUAGAACUUUUGUCAAUUAGCAUAAUUUUUUAAAUUUACAUGUCCAAAAUUUAGAAUACUCGAACUCAACUCGAUAAAUGCUCAUUUCACCUCCUUGAUAAAGAAACUAGCCAAUUUUGAAAGUUUACCGAAAAUAAACAAACAAGUUUAAGCAUUAAAGCAUUGAAUUUGAUUAAAGUAGUUUGUACCGGUGACAACUCAGAUCUUUUUUUUCAAGGCCUCCAUUCAUGAAUUAGACUCGAUCAACAAGCCUAAAGUUGGGCCCAAAAAACGUUGGAUUCCUCAAUACACUUCUGAAGCUCAACCCAUUUUGUAAUCGGAGCUUGGGGUUGGCUAACAAGAAUGUGUGUGAAUAAUUAUUCAUUUGUUGUCAAAUGGUGUGUAAAUAAAGUGGAACUCUUUCUUAUCAACAUACAAAAUUUAAAAUAUAAUUCAAUAUUUUGUCCUUACCAUACCAUCUCUUCAAUUCUAGAAACAAAAGCAUGGGGUGAAUAGAAACACAUAGACAUGGCCACGGUUCCAAUUUAAAAAUCGACGAUUUAAUUUUUCUAAAAAGUGGAACCUAAAUUGGUCCUUAUAGGGAGAGUUACGAUUACAAUUGUAGAACAUUCAAUUCUAGUUACAAUUCCAAUUUCUUCUGGUUACUGUUAUGUUCUUUUAGUUAUGUUUAAAUACUUGUUAUAAAAUUGAUUUUAAGAAAAUAUGACAAUGAAUGUUAAAAAAAAAAAAACUUUUUGUAUUAUCAUAUGCAAGAAAAAAGAAAAAAUUAUGCAAAUUUUAUGAAAAAAAAUCUCAUUGUUGAUUAGAUUAGAUUGAUUUUAAAUUUAGAUUAGUCAUGGGGUGUAGACUUACUCGUAGAAUGGGGCAAUAGGUUGUUGGAUUUGAAUUAGAACGGCUAGUAUUAGAUGCUGACUAUUGAUAUUGAAUUCUAAACUAGCCAAAUAUGUUUAAAUAGUAAAUAUUUUCUUUAGAUGGUUUGAACGGGUAGUAAAUCGCCAAUUCCGGUCCAGUUCAAAAUUUUGGUGAAUCUAAACCCGAACCUUUAGUCACGAUUAUGGUUCCAAUUUAGGUUUUCAAAGUCCGGUUUCAAUUCCAAUUCAACAAACCGCCAAUCUAAUUACUGUUCAGUUCCAAUUCAAAUCUGAACCAUGACCACCUCUAUAAACAUAUAAGAAGCUAUAGGUCUAAAUUGAUGUAGGCUAACCAAGCAUAUUUGGACCCCGGCUCCGCCAAUUUUUGUGUAAGGUACAAUAUUUUAGAGAGAGAUUAUGGCACUGAUAUCGUUAAUUCAAUAUAAAACUGCUGAAUAAAAUCAUAGAAUAAAGAUUAAUGGUUAAGUUGAACUAACUGCACAAUACCCGCUUGAUAAGAAAGAAUCUGCAAAUAUUUUACCCAAUCUCAUAUGCACUUAUAAAAUUCAACCUUGUUUUUGAGUGGCAAAACAAGCAAAACUUGAAUUAUUCUAUAGACCCAUGCACAAGUUAAUUCUAGAAGCAUUUUGUUACACCUUACUAGAAAAUAAGGAGCAACAUACGGAAAACAGCUUUACUUUGAUUUUCUUCCCUCUACAUAAUAAAGCUGACCGUCUUUGCUUUGUUUGAUCAAAGAAGAGUACAAGCUAGAAUCUUAAGCUUGUAGCAAUGGAUUAAGAAUAGACUAAUGCAUAGUUUGUUGCCUUCACGGGGUUCCUUUCUUCCACGGCUAGUAUUUGGGGAGUCCUAUCAUUUUCAAAAUACUAUUAUAAUCAUUCUGAACAAUCAUGCUUUCCAUUCCUACCGAAAAGCAGACAUUAUGCUUCAACAGGAAAAGUAAUUGCGUGACUUUAUCUUCACGUUUGCAAUAAAAUUGAUUUAGGGUGGUUCGUUAAAACUGUUAGUUUACGUGUGCUACAAACAUUCUUUUACACAAAUAGGAAUAGAUUUCAUAGUAUUGUAUAACAAGGUAGAGAUUCUUUCAACACUAGCGAAUGGCUUCCUCCAAUAUCCUAAUAUAAUUCUUUAACCAUAACUCCAAGCUAUUUGUUUGAAGAUGCUGCUAAUGAUCUUCUGUAAAUGGCACGGUUGUCUUUCUAAGAUUAUAAUUCUUUGGUUAAGGGUUUCUAGCUAAGUAUAGAAAGCAAAUGGGUAAGGCGUAUUUCAUCACCUGUCUUGCUCCAUUUCAGCUUGAAGAUAGCCCGCACACCAUCAUUAAGAACAAUGUUGCGCCAUUGUUUGCCUCGUUGGCGCAUGACAUUCAGAAAGGUGCACAGAAGCUGUGAUUCUGCUAAAGAAAAUGCAUGCUGAGUUUCUUCUGUUACUUCAGAGCUUGCAAGUACCGACGAGCACAUGGAAUGGCAUAAGCAAGUUGGUGGAUGAAUACAUGAAUAAGAGUUUACGCAUCUUGGAGCUUUGCAAUUUGCUCACAUCUGCAAUUAAUGAGAUGAAUAGAAACCUUCUCAAGAUUGAUGUUGCCUCCAGAAGUAUGUCUCAAGGCGAGUCUUUGGCUAAUAUUCAGGUACUGGCUGUGCGGGACACUAAACUUUAUGGUUCUUUGAAGUGGAAAAAUGAAGAUAGUACUGAAAUUCCAAUGAACAAAAUUAACAGCAAGAAUAGUACCACAAAUUUUAUAUGUGCAAUCACAGGUGCCAUGACCAUUAUAUCCUCAAUCCUUUUCUGUAUAAUUUUCUGUCCAAUUCCAGUAGAACUUGAAAAGGAAAUUCAUUGUGAACUUCCUCAGAUGAAAUUAUUUGUAGAUUCAGUCCAAGAGCUUGCAAAAUGUUUUAACAACAAAUCCAACAUCCAUGUUGACAAUCUUUUUGUAGCAUUUCUUGGGCAUGAAAUGAUUGAACAGGAGAUAACAGAGACAAAAUCUCAGACUGAAAAGCAAAUUGCAACAGAUAUAGAUAAGUUAAAAAGAACCAAAGCAUCAAUCCAAGAGAAAUCGGCUGCUCUGAAGGUUAGUCUCGAGGUAUUUGAAUUGGAAGUCACCAAAGUUUUCGAAGAGGUUCUUAGAGGAAGAAACAAGUUGCUGCAGCAGAUUACUCCCAUGCAGCAAAACUUAAAUUAGUGCAGUUUGUAUCUAUUGAAUUUGGUGUAGCAGCAGUGAGACUCUGAAUCUGAUGCUAUUGGUGCCUUGAACCCCUGUAAUCCUAAAUCAGUUCAAGUGCUAUGAUUUGUACGAUAUGCAAAAGCAUUCAUUUGAAACUUGAAAUGUAAAUCUUAAUCCAAAAGGAAAAAACUGUAAUCCCAUAUUCUGUGCUAUUUAUCUUGCUACUGUAUCUAUGUCUCGUUUUGGGGGAGCAGUCUCAACGACAAAAUUCUCAGUCACAACCAUGCAGCAUGUAUGUUUAGAGCAGUGGGCAUUUGCCCAAAAUUAAAGGGUGCCCCACAGUUCACAACUGAAGAUGAACCACCAUGCAGUCAGUAUCUACUAACUAAAAAUUAAAUCAACCAUUCUAAUAUGUAAAGCUUCAAUUUAUCAGGUAAAAUAUUCAGGUAUCAAAUAGAUCAAGUUGAAAGCUGUUCAUAUCUUCUCCUACACAAGAUGUUGAGAUAACCACUAAAGUUCCUGAUAAAAUUUGAAACAGAAAUCAGCAUGCUUUAAGAUAAAUUUCCAUCUUAAAGCUAACAUUAUGCACCCAUUCACCAGACCAAAUUUUAAAUGCGAAGAUAAAUGGGACACAUAACAUGGGCUCACCACCCUAACUUGUGGAUUAUGCUUAUCCUCUUAACUCCAAAUAAUCAGGUGCAGAGCACUAGACAACAUUUUCUGCUGUAAGCCAGUUAAAUUUAAGUGCAGAUCUUUGGCAGAAUUGAAGGACAAUUACAGUGAAGAGAAGUGAAUGUCAUAAGCCAUCUCAAAGUGCUGGUUGAAAGGUUUAAGAUAGAAAACUUAACAAAGCACAUAAAUGACCUUCACUGGAGAAUCGAUAAAGGGCUUUGCUCUAGAGGUAACAAAGGUUUGAUUCUCAUCACCAUCAUUUUACCUUUCCCUUAUACAAAACCUUUUCCAAGAAAACAUACUUACUGAUCCACUAGCCACAAGCAUUAGCUCUCGAAAGUACUUUCAGGAUGUUGAAAUUCAAAACAACCAUAAAACUUGAAAAAUGAAUCAGGAUUCAUCACAAAAUUAAGGAAAAGAGAAUCAUCUUGAUAAAUGAGAUGUCAAUUUCAUUCUUACUAUUCACACAAGAAUACAUACAGAAGGGUAUAGCCCAAUCACCUGCAGCAUACAAUACUACUUUUAAAAGUUUCCAAGGAAUACAAACAUCAGACAUGCUUGUCCAGAAUUUGCCAUAUGAUUGUUAAUAUUCUUUUGUUCUUUUCUCUAGGCAUGCAUUGCCCCAUAUGUAAUUCUACUUCUCCCAAGCGUGCCUUAUGCAAGGAGGGUAGACAGCUUUUCUUGUCUAGCUAAACUCCAUAUUUCACAUUCAAAUCUAUUAACUUCUAAUAGAGAAAAUUGAACAAACAACAUCUCUCAUAUCAACUUUUACAUCCCGUCCACAAUAAAAACAGAUCAAUACCGGUAAAUCCAGUGGAUAUAAACUCUAUAUCAAAAAGUAUUAUAACCUCAAAUUGAAAAAAGGACAUGAGAAAAGUACAAUGUUCAGAUAUGAAGACAACUAAAACUGCUCAAAUUUGAAUUAAACUCUUAAUACAUUUUACAGACGUAAUGACUCGACAAAAUUCAUGAACCCCAUAAAAGAGGCACAUUUGGCUAGGUAUAUAU